rnacentral:lncRNA from 1 species
UCUCACCAAGGUUAUCCCCUCCUCCUCCUCGUCCACUCACCAUUUUUCUUUGCCAUGGUGAUUUCUUUUUCUGCUACACAAACUGACGACCGCCUGUACAGAUCGAAGGACCUCCUCUCAUGUUUGAGAUUUGUACCCAAGUUAGCAACUAUACUGAAGAACAUUGAAUGUUUUGCAGUGCAUCUUACUGUCUUGAACUCACAAGUGAGCACAACCACCUUUUCCUCCUUGUCAUGCUAAUCUAUAUGCACAAUGUUCUAGUAUAUUGUGAAGAAGGCAAAUUUGUUUAUGGGUGGGUUCAAUCAAGGAGGUGCUUGAGCUGGGAGUAUUAUCUUAUCAUCAUGUACUAGAAAUUCAGUAUAGGAUAUGAUGAAUUAUUUAGUGCCCCCAUUCUUAUAAGCAAUUCUUAGUUUUGCUUGACCCCUUUGUUUACCCUAUGUAUGUUGCCAGCUAAUCAAUCCAAACCCUUUAACAUGUACCAUAUGUAUGUUGACUGCAAACUGAAACAACAUGCGCCAAUUUGUGGUUCACCACGUGAAUUGCUAAACUGCAGUCGAUCAUGUUUUGCUCAAUGGUCGUCGAUCUUGCUUUGCUCUCUGGAGUGCAUGUAGAAGAGUUACGUAUAUUAUUUGCCAAAUUGUUACGUGAAACCUGGGAAUAAUAAUAGCUUACCAUGUAGAGUAACAGAGUCAUUUCAUUGUGUUCUGUUUUAUAGUUGAAAAAUGGAGUGGUAUACAGGAAGAAUGGCCUAUGUCCUAUACUCACACGCUGCAUUUGAUUGAUCCUAGCUUAUCUGGUUGUGAAACCAACAAAUAUCUUGUUUGGUUUGUCUGACUGAUGAGUGACCAUUGAUUUCUAGUAGGUGCUGAUUUGUGGGUCUGCUCUGACUUUAGAAGUUGGCUUUAUCCGAAGACUUUGUGUUCAAUUGCUUGGUGCCUUUUGAUUCAUCUGUCAUUGAGAAGUUUGCACUCAGAGUAAGAAAGGUAUGUGACGUAGUCAUCCCUGGUCAUUGAGGAAGCUUAAAUUAUGCAAACCUACUGCUCUUGUGGUGUUAUUUUCUCUGCUAGUAUUGAAAGUGGUCUUAUUUUAGUAUAUGGGAAAAUUAAUGCUCUAAAUUAUGUACGUAGAUGUUACAAUAGAAAUGGUAUUAUCUUUGUAUUCACUCCUAAGCUUUCUAGGCUCCUAGCUAUUGGUUCUUUGCAGCCAUAAUAGAGAUGGUAUUAUUAUUGCUUUAUUUAUAAUUAUUAUCAUUGUAUUAAUCUUGUUUUCAUUGGGUAUAAUAGUGAUGGAUUCUAGGAGAAAUAAAAUUAUUAAGAUUAUCUCGCAAGAACAAGAAGAAGACGAUGAACUAUUUUUUCCUUUUGGUUCCCGCUUUAUAUGCUUCCCUUUAUGAGGAAAAGCAUCCAGUUCACACGUAAUCUUUAUUCGGGGCUGCAAAGGUUAAGGAAAUAUUAGAAGGCCACGAGAGUUGGUCUAGGGUUGAGUUUCGGAUGGAUCCUGAGAUUUUUAAGUCUAUCGUGGAUUGCCUUAGAAGAGAGAAUCUAUUGAAGGGCACGUCGCAUGUUGCUGUCGAGGAGCAGUUGGCAAUGUUCAUGUACAUGAUUUCGCACAAUGCUAGUAAUCAAGAUCUACAAAAGUACUUCCAACAUAGCGCGAAAACAAUUCAUGGGAAGAUAAACAGGAUUUUUGACUUAAUUCCAACUCUAGCCCAAAGAUUUAUAAAGAUUCCAAGUUCACUCCAGCCCCAUCCGAAGAUUGUUUCGAACAAUCGCUAUUGGCCUUAUUUCCAGGUGAACCACUACAUACACAUCUCCAUAUCAAUGGAAUUUUUGAAAACUUCUCCACAUAGAUAUCUAAACCUACCAACUUUUUUGUUUCUUUUUCAAUGUGUAGAACUACAUUGGUGCUAUAGAUGGAACACAUAUCCCCAUCACUGUUGCUGAAGAUAAGACCCCCCCCCCCCAAUUUAGGAAUAGGAAAGGAACCCUCUCACAGAAUGUCAUGGUUGCAUGUGAUUUUGAUCUGAAUUUCACAUUUAUUUCAUGUGGGUGGGAAGGGUCUGCAUAAGGUGCAGGAGUUCUUCAUUCUGCUAUUAGCAAGGGGUUUCAUGUGCCAGAUGGAAAAUUUUAUCUCAUAGAUGGUGGAUAUGCAAACACGCCUUCUUUUCUUGCACCAUAUCGAGGAGUUCAGUAUCACCUGAGUGAAUUUAGGAGGCGACGCUCAUCUAAUACGGGCUAUGCCGACCAUAGGGAGCUGUUCAACCAUACCCAUGCAAUUCUCCGGAACCACAUCGAAAGGAGCAUUGGUGUUCUAAAAAGUGUUUCCCUAUCUUGAAAGUGGGCAAUUACUACCCAAUAGAGUCACAAAUCAAGAUUCCGGCGGCAUGUGAUGUAUUCCAUAACAUCAUUAGAGCUCAAAGUGGUGAUGAGGCAUGGUUGGAUCACCAACCACCGUUAAUUCCACCAGAAACAUAUGUUGAUGUUCCAGAGGGAGAUGAUGUCAACCAACAUCAUCACAAUGAGGCAAACAAUGGAAACACUCUUAGAGAUCAGAUCACGAUGCAAAUGUGGGCUGAUUAUAACAACUAGUCGGACAUGAGUUUAUUUUGUAAAUUUUUCUCACCUUUUCUUAGGUAAAGUAGUGGUAGAGAGAAAUUUAACUAGUACCCCAUUGUUGGUUCAAUAGUGUAGCAAUGGCAGAGCCUAGGGCAUCUUGGGACCAUGCAUAUGAGAAAGGUCUUGUUGAUAUAAUGCUUGACCACAACAAUCCCAUCUAUCGAGGUCAAAAUGGGUGGACUAUUGAAGGGUGGACUAGAAUUACAAAUACAUUCAAUCAGAAAUUUCCACCAGCUAAUUUCACCAAGCAAAAAAUCCAAGAGAAGGAUAAGGAUUUAAAAGGAAAUUAUAAGGCAGUGAGAGACUCUCGGAAACAGAGCGACACGGGAUGGGAUGAUACACUUUGCAUGAUCAUCGUUGAACCUGUAAUAUGGGAUAAACUUAUCAAGGUUAGCUCUUUUCUUGAUAUAUUGUUUGUUCACUGCCAUUCAUGCUCUUCAAGGCAUUGUUUUAUUGAUCCCAACCAUACAAUGUUGUUGCAUUCAAUAGGAUAAUGCAAGGAUAAAGAAGUUCCGUUCAAAACCAUUCAUGCUCUUCAAGUCAUUGGCUUUACUACAUGAAGGUGUGUUUCCUGUAUCACGUGUUUCCGUCAACCCUGCAUAUUAAAUCCUUUUCAUUCUUGCUUUAAUUAUAUAGUAUUUGGGAGAUUGUUGAGAUGCCUGUAUUUUUUCAUGUGUUUCGAUUGGACCCUGCUUGAGUGCUCUUUUUCUUUCUAAGAAGUUGUACGAUGAAGGACCAAGUUAUGUGCAUAUAUACUUCCUUUCUGGAAUGGGUGGCAGUAAUAUAUGUAUUUGCAAUUAUAGAUGAAUGUGAUGUUUCUACGAGAACAUGCUGAUAUGUUUAUUUUUUUGGAGCAGGAAGUGUUGCUUCAGGAGACUUGAACUUUGUAUCAAUUCCGCAAGUGGAUCUCACAAGCGAUGCCAUUUCUCCUAUGGAUUCCUCUACCAAUGAUUUGAACCAUAUCUCCUCUACCAAUGUUGAUGAUGGUAUGUCCUCGUCUGAUCUACAAGGGCAAGGGGCAUCAAGACGAGAUGAACCUGAAGCUACAACAUCUACCAACUCUGAACAAAAGGGAGCACUGCCUGUGAAAAAGAGGAAGCAAAGCCAGAUCGCUGUUGUACUUGAGGAUUACAUGGAUUUUCGAAAGAAACAAUCUGCAAAACUGGUUGAUGAGUUGAAGGAAUCAAAGCCAGAUGACAUGUUCUCGAUUGGAAACUAUGUGGCUGCACUAGAACCAAUGGAAGAUCUAUCAGUUGCAGAAAAAGCAAAGGAAUUGCGACUUUUUAAAUGCCCAAUGAAUCGAGAAAUAUUCAUCAAUACCAAGGACUCAAAUCUUCGGCUUUAUUGGUUGAAGGAGGAGAUUUCUGAGAUGUAGAUAACAUAAGGUGUGUAACCAGUUCACCUUCUUGUUUUGCACUACAUCCAUUUAUAUUUAUUUACUUUGUGGCAUUAUCCACUGGAGCUUUGUAUAAGCGUGUUUCUCUCUGUUAAUCGAUGAUAGAUAAGUAAAGACAAAACACACUUCAUUCUUUUAAAACUGACUAGAAGAGCCACACAUUUGGAGAAAUGUUACUACCUUUUGUUUGGUAGUUUCUGUGUACCUUUACAAGCUUGUUAGUGAUACUUAAUUUGGUGGCCUCCUCCCAUUGGUUUCACCUCCUAUUGCCUCAUAACUCACCUCACAGCAAUAUAUUGCCCUGUUCAUCUGAAGACUUUUUCAAGAAAACAAAUUGGGUUACUGGGCAGCCUUGUGAUUGCGUUCCUAAACUAUAUUUAUAGUCUUGAUUUUUUAUGCACAGUGCACAAAUCAUAUGUUGGUUGAUACUAUUUCAUUAGUUUGCUUAUACUACAAAAUAGUGUUGUGAGAUUCUGAACUGAUGCUAGCUAACUUAUUUCUUUUUGUCAUUCAGCCAGCAUCAAGUUGUGGUACAUGAUGUCGAGGAAGGAGUGGAGAAAAGACCGGAGUAGGAUGUGAUUGUUGCUUUGCGGCCCAUCUUGUUCGAAAGUAUCCCUGAGUUGGACAUGGCAACUUAUAAUCCAGAACUUUUUAUAGUGCACAAACUUGACGAUGUAUCAAUAACUCUUGUAAUGAUUGCUUUUAUUUCCGCACAUGAAAACGGCUUAGGCCAAUGCUCGAUCAUCGUGAAAUGCAGACUGAUAUCUUAAGCUUGAUGAAGUGAUGGAUAAGUUGUAGUAAUAUUUUUAAAAUUCUAGUUGACAUGAAUUAUGAACCUUUGUUAUGUGCCUGUGAUUUUUGUCGUUUCUCAGAAUUAUUUGUGGAAUGUGAUUUUUGUUGUUUCUCAGAAUUAUUCGUGGAAUUUUUAUCUAUGAUUUGGUUGUUUUCCAAAAUUAUAUGUAGACUUUUUAUGUAAGAUCUGCUAUAUUAUAUGUGUCUGUAGUAUGCAAGGGAUUUCCUUCCCUCCCAUGUUACUAUUUGGGCACCUCGACAAUGGGAACAUUUCCCACGUGGUGGGAGGGGUUUCAUGUGCAUAGGGGAAUCUCCCCUAGGGGUUUAUGGCCGAGGGUUUUUCCUACCCAGCAUCCAAACGAGGCCUUAGGGUUUCCAACAGGGGGGUGCAUGCCCCCCUAGGGUUUCCAACCCUAGGCGCCUUGGGCCCUUGGGUGGGGCGCACUAGCCCACCAGGGGCUGGUUCCCACGCCACUUAAGCCCAUGGGGCUCUCCGGGAUAGGUGGCCCCACCCGGUGGACCCCCGGAACCCUUUCGGUGGUCCCGGUACAAUACCGAUGACUCCCGAAACUCUCCCGGUGGCCGAAACUGGACUUCCUAUAUAUAAAUUUUUACCUCCGGACCAUUUCGGAACUCCUCGUGACGUCCGAGAUCUCAUCCGGGACUACGAACAACUUUUGGUUAACCGCAUACUAAUAUCUCUACAACUCUAGCGUCACUGAACCUUAAAUGUGUAGACCUUACGGGUUCGGGAGACACGUAGACAUGACCGAGACAACUCUCCGCUCAAUAACCAACAGCGGAAUCUGGAUACCCAUGUUGGCUCCCACAUGCUCCACGAUAAUCUCAUCAGAUGAACCACAAUGUCGAGGAUUCAAUCAAUCCCGUAUACAAUUUUCUUUGUCUAUUGGUACGAUACUUGCCCGAGAUUCGAUCAUCGGUAUACCGAUAUCUUGUUCAAUCUCGUUACGGCAAGUCUCUUUACUCGUUCCCAUAACACAUCAUCCCGUGAACAACUCCUUGAUCACAUUGAGCUCAUUAUGAUGAUGUCCUACCGAGUGGGCCCAGAGAUACCUCUCCGUCAUACAGAGUGACAAAUCCCAGUCUCGAUUCGUGCCAACCCAACAGAUACUUCCGGGGAUACCCAUAGUGUACCUUUAUAGCCACCCAGCUACGUUGUGACGUUUGGCACACCCAAAGUACCCUUAUGGUGUUCGGGAGUUGCACAAUCUCAUGGUCUAAGGAAAAGAUACUUGACAUUAGAAAAGCUUUAGCAGACGAACCACACGAUCUUGUGAUAUGCUUAGGAUUGGGUCUUGUCCAUCAUAUCAUUCUCCUAAUGAUGUGAUCCCGUUAUCAAUGACAUCCAAUGUCCAUGGUUAGGAAACCGUAACCAUCUAUUGAUCAACGAGCUAGUCAACUAGAGGCUCACUAGGGACAUGUUGUGGUCUAUGUAUUCACACAUGUAUUACGAUUUCUGGAUAACACAAUUAUAGCAUGAACAAUAGACAAUUAUCAUGAACAAGGAAAUAUAAUAAUAACCAUUUUAUUAUUGCCUCUAGGGCAUAUUUCCAACAACUUGCCCGAGAUUCGAUCGUCGUUAUCUCAAUACCUAGUUCAAUCUCGUUACCGGCAAGUCUCUUUACUCGUCCCGUAACACAUCAUCCCGCAACUAACCCAUUAGUUGCAAUACUUGCAAGGCUUAAGUGAUGUGUAGCGCAUAACAACAUACGUUGUUCCUUUUGUCAUCGGUAUGUUAUUUGCCCGAGAUUUGAUCGUCGUUAUCUCAAUACCUAGUUCAAUCUCGUUACCAGCAAGUCUCUUUACUCGUUCCGUAACACAUCAUCCGUAACUAACUCAUUAGUUGCAAUGCUUGCAAGGCUUAAGUGAUGUGUAUUAUCGAGUGGGCACAGAGAUACCUCUCCGACAAUCGGAGUGACAAAUCCUAAUCUCGAAAUACGCCAACCCAAUAAGUACCUUCGGAGACACUUGUAGAGCACCUUUAUAAUCACCCAGUUACGUUGUGACGUUUGGUAGCACACAAAGUGUUUCUUCGAUAAAUGGGAGUUGCAUAAUCUCAUAGUCACAGGAACAUGUAUAAGUCAUGAAAAAAGUAAUAGCAACAAAUUAAACGAUCAAGUGCUAAGCUAACGGAAUGGGUUAAGUCAAUCACAUCAUUCCCCUAAUGAUGUGAUCCCGUUAAUCAAAUGACAACUCUUUGUCUAUGGCUAGAAAACAUAACCAUCUUUGAUCAACGAGCUAGUCAAGUAGAGGCAUACUAGUGACACUUUGUUUGUCCAUGUAUUCACACAUGUAUCAUGUUUCCGGUUAAUACAAUUUUAGCAUGAAUAAUAAACAUUUAUCAUGAUAUAAGGAAAUAAAUAAUAACUUUAUUAUUGCCUCUAGGGCAUAUUUCCUUUAAAACUAUAUAAAGUUUGUCCAAGUUUAUAGAAACCAACACAAGCAUUUACAAUAACAAAUCGAUAUGAUGAUUUUUUUUCUACAAACUUGAUCAAAGUUUAUAAAAUUUGACUUUAGAUAAAGGUAAUAUAAGGAGAAAAUAAAAACAAAAGAGAGUAUUUUAAAGACAUUUAUGUAUUGUCAUUUAUUAAAUGCUCUAAGCCAGGCACUGCCAAGCAGUAGCUGGGAAGAGUUGCUUUCAAGACCUCUGCGUUUUCAGCCCGUAGAACGGGUCCAUCCGAGUCAUCCAUCCCCUGCCGCCACCACCCCACCAACCAACCGCGUCUCCUCCUCCUCUCCUCCGUCUUUACUUCACGUUUUUCCCCCUCUGGACCAAGCGGUAGCUUUUACAUCACGUUUCACGGUCACAGGUCGCAGACUCGCAGCUAGUAUAUCUACGAAAAAAAAGCUACGAGUAGGAAGCGUUCGUGAGAGAAAGCAGAGGCGCGUGACCGUCCACUUCAGCAGUCCACCACGCGUCGCACGCCCGGCACCCCCUGCUGCAGCUGCAGCCUGGGCCCCGCCGUGCUCGCGCCCCACAUGCCAGCGACGGACGCUCCUCAGUAGGCCCUGGCCUGCACCACCACGCCAAGCCACGAGGCUAUUGCGAAAGGAAACUACGCACGAGAACGAGGCGAGAAUUGCGACCGGGCGGGCCGGGCUCUCUCCCGGAGACCGCAUAAAUACACGCCACCGGCCCGUUUCCGCUCCUGUCUCUCUUCCCCCCCUCCCUCUCUCCCUUCCUCUGCUUCUGCCAACUGGAAGUCUACUCUAGAAGCAUCAAAGGCGAGGGAAUUCCCGAGACGAGCGUCUCCGCCGCGUCGCCGUUCCAAGCGGUGGUAGUACGGGGGGAGGUAUCCGGCCCGCAGGGCGGCGCUGCCGGCUUGUUGAUCGGGGAGUUCGCGCGCGCUCGGCGGGCGAUGGGGCGACGGCCGGCUGCGUCGAGGCGUCUCGCGGCGGCGGUGGCGGUGGCGAUUUUGUUGCUGGUCGUCGCGUCGGCCACGGCGGGAGCGGCGGAGGAGCGCGGGCGGAGGGGCGUGGCCGUGCGGCAGGGCGAGGGGCGAGGGCGCCACCACCACCGGCACGCGUACGCGGCGAUGAUGUACAUGGGGACGCCGCGGGACUACGAGUUCUACGUGGCGGUGCGCGUGAUGAUGCGCUCCUUGUCCAGGGUCGGCGCCGACGCCGACCGCGUCCUCAUCGCCUCCUCGGACGUGCCCCGCGACUGGGUCCGCGCAAUGUGAGUGCACGCCCCCUCCCUCCCUUUGGACCCUUCCGCCGCUCUGCUUCCGUUUGGACGCAGUUGACCGCGAGCAGAAACGGAUUGGAGCUCCAUUGCUGACGCGUCGCAAUUAAUUUUUAUUAAAUUACUAUAAGCAAGCGUUUCUUUCCUUUUUCUUUUUCGACAAUGGCAAGCGUUUCUUUCCUUGUGUGGGUGGGGACGAAGGCGAAGACGAGGGGGUUGUUUUUGGGAAGUAACUCGUCCGCGCGAUGGUUUUGCCGUUUUGCGGGGGCGAGUACCGGGCCACCUGCAGAUAUAUACGAUUAUAAUACAAGGAAGCUUCUGAAGUAUUUUCUUUAAUCUACUCCAUGCUGUUUUUACAUAUAGUCUCCAUGCUGUUUUUACAUAUAGUCUCCAUGCUGUUUACCAGACGGGAUAUUUCAGUGCAUGCUCAGUCUGCUUAAGUAAAUGUUCUUGACUGACACAUCACCGUUGUGUGCUGUUAAUUAGAGUAGUACUCUCAGAGAAUAUGCUGUAUUGUGUGAGUACAUGCUGUGAGCUUUGACGAGUAGGAGUAUUUGUUUGGUGGCUUCUCUUCAAAGAAAUCGGUUGGUUUCCAAUUAGAGUGGUCAACUUUCCUUCCUCUUCAUGAAAUUUAUUUCAGAAUAUAUGUUUUGGAUACGGUCAAAUCCCAAAUGAUUGGUUUGGACCAUGACUCCGCCCCGAUAAUCGCUAAUUCGUUUAUAAAAUGCAACGUGAACAAAUAUAUUCAUUCCGUUCCCAGUAUGAUUUUUUUUUGAAACGGAAGUAUGAAUUGAAAUAUGACAUUUCUGAUGGUGGUGAACGGGAACAGGAGGGAGGAGGAUGGCAUGAGGGUGGUGGUUGUCGAGAACCUGAAGAAUCCUUACGAGGGCAACCUUGGAGGAAUGAACAGGAGGUUUAAGCUGACAUUGAACAAGCUCUACGCAUGGAGCUUGGUCGACUAUGAGCGUGUCGUCAUGAUCGACUCCGACAACAUCUUCCUCCAGAACACCGAUGAGCUCUUCCAGUGCGGCCAGUUUUGUGCUGUUUUCAUCAAUCCAUGCUACUUCCACACUGGCCUUUUCGUGCUCCAGGUAUGGCCCCAGUUCUUCUUAUGGUUUGUACCUUGCAAUUGUACUGCCUGUACCAAACGUCAAACUCUUCUUCUGCUUGAAAUGUUAUGGACCUGCUGAGUUGAUCAUGUAACGGUCUGUGCUGAACUAGAUGGUGUCCUUAACUCCUUACGUAUGCUGAUGAUAGUACAGUUCCUAAAUUGAGCCACAUCGCUACAUCUGUUGAUGAUGGCAUGUACUGGCAUAAACCAGUUGAGCAACUAUUAAUAGAUGGAACUUCGAUUGACUCGCCAGCUAUCACAUGCAUGGUUGGCAUGAUAGCUCCACUAAACCACCACAAGCACAUAACCAGAAGAUUUUUCUUAAAUAGUCAUCUAUAUAGUUUCAGAUCGGAAGGUAUGCAAUGAGCAACAUCAUUGCAUUGAUCAUAGCUAAUGCACCUCAAGAUAUCUUUUACGCAGAUAACAGUUGUCUUUAAAAAGUAUCUGAUGUUGAUGUUUUUAUCCAAUAUACAGCCUUCUAUGGAUGUGUUUAAUGGCAUGCUUCAUGACCUGGAGAUUGGCCGUGACAACUCUGACGGUGCAGACCAAGGCUUCCUAGUCGGCUGCUACCCAGACUUGUUGGACAAACCAUUGUUCCACCCGCCUGAAAAUGGCACCAAACUCAACGGAACAUAUCGCCUUCCUCUCGGCUAUCAGAUGGACGCAUCAUACUACUGUGAGCAUCUCUGCGCUUCAGCUCCAUUCUCUAACCUUUGUAUGGUUCUUGCUUCCAAAGAUAUUUACCGACAUUUUACUGAAAUAUUGCAGAUCUUAAACUCCAUUGGCAUGUUCCAUGCGGUCCUAACAGCGUGAUCACAUUCCCUAGUGCCCCUUGGUUUAAACCUUGGUACUGGUGGUCCUGGCCAAUCUUGCCACUGGGCCUUUCCUGGCACAAGCAACGCUGGGAUGAUCUUGGGUGAGUGAAAGCAAGAAUUUACGACCACAACAUAUACUUGAGCAGAUAGAAAAGAAAUCAUAUGGCAUGCAUUCUGCACAUUUAAUUUCUGCCUGCUAACAUUCCUUCCCUGGUCCACAUUUGACAGUUAUGCUGCUGAAAUUCCGGUGGUCCUCAUGGAGCUGCUAAUGUACAUAACGAUCAUAGCCGUCACCAGAUUGGCAAGGCCACAGAUGACAAAACUGUGCUAUAAUCGGCGACCUGAGAAACAAGGUGCCCUGCUGCAGUGGCUAAUCAAGCUGGCCGGGAUUGUGGCCAUGGUGGCUGCAUAUGCGAUCCCAUUCUUUGUAAUCCCAUGCACAGUUCAUCCAAUCAUGGGUUGGUCCAUGUACCUCUUUGGCGUCCUCGCCUUCUCAACGGUCGUGAUCAAUGCAUUCCUGCUCCCACCGCUUGCCGUGCUCACUGCAUGGCUUGGGAUUGUUGGAAUGCUCUUUGUCAUGGCAUUCCCAUGGUACCAUGACGGCAUCGCGAGGAUUCUGGUGGUCGUCGCCUAUGCGUUUUGCUCUGCACCAUUCCUGUGGGCAUCCAUCGUGAGGGUGAUGGACUCAUUGCAAACAAUGCUUGAGAGGGAUCCGCACUUCCCCCGGCUCGGUGAUCCAGCACCUGAGACUGAAUUUAGCAAACUGUACUGAUUCUUUUGUAAAGGUUUGAUAUGCUUCAUCAUCAUCAUAUGGACAGCUGAUUCAGAUUGGCUGAUUAUUGAUUCAUUCUGACUAUUUUGUCUCUAGCAAUCUGCUUUGUAUCAGAAGUAACUUUGAAACAUUGCCUGAGCAACUAAUAUUUGAAUGCAGAUAGAGAAGAUAGAUCAGUUGCACUGAACUUAACUACAAAAAAGGGGCAUGUUCAUUGCAUCCGGUGGGUAAUGGGACUAUUGUAAAUUGCCAUUUGUUAGGGUGUUCCCCUGUUUCAGAAAAAAAAAUGUCUUGCUAGGUCUGACGGUUCAAACUAUGUUUGAGCAAGUUGUUUCCUGUCUCUGUGACUGGAAAUAUACAUAUAAUUGGUUUAACUGAAAGUUUUCUUCCCAUUUUUCUGGAAAAGAGUCGGGACUCAAUGGCGAACGUCUGAAACUACCAAAAGGUAGACGGUUCAUCAUAAUUCUAAUCUAGAGAUCUAUGAAUCAGGUACAUAAGUAUCUUGAAAACAAAGUGUAGAUACAAAAUGGAUAAGAGAGCCAACGAUGAGGUUGCAUAGUCAACUGAAGUUAGCUGAUCGUAUUAUAUGUUCAGGAUGUAAAGCCCUCUCUAACAGAACACAAUGGUUAAAUUCUAAGUAUCUUGUCUAAAGUUGGAAAAGGUGGACACACAUUCCAAAAUUUCAGCAUCUUGCCUUGGUUUUGCUAUUAAUUUGUCCCGCAGUUCCUGUUGACUAGGAAGAACAAUCUGAGCCCCUUGACCUGAUGACGAGAAGUAUCUAUCCAGAAUCAUCUACAGCCAAAGUAAACUAUAGUCAAGUUGGAAGCUGGGACACACAAAAGCCGGUAAAAGAGUGUGAUGUGGCCAGAAUGAUAUGUACCAUGGCAGCAUACGCAUCAGAUUUGUCGUCACGGGAAGACCUCUUAACACCCCUGAAGAACAUGAGUUUCAGACCGAGACAACAUCCUAGUGAGAUUUAUCCAACUUGUUUUUUUUGGUGGUUUUCGAAAUAAAGUUUAUGACAGGUAGUAGCAAACUUGCCAUCCAUGACAGGGUAGACAGCCUACCUUGAGAUCAUGUAAUGGAGGGCGUCCACUGAUGUUCCAUGCUCAUCCUGCAGAUAAACCCUCAGCCCCCUGCGCUGUUCAAACAAACACACUGAGCCGACUCAAAGUACUCAAACACUGAACCCCCUCUACUGGACUGAAGUGAAGAACACUGCAACAAGCCUUUUUCCCUCCUUGCUUGCUUUCUAGUGCGCCGCCCGCCCAUUCUGUAAUUGGAACCCAGAGGACCACGCACGCACCUGUCGGCCGCUUGGACGGCGAGCCUUCCGACGACGCUCCGCACUUUGUUGGACUGCGGCGUCUCUCUCCCGUCGGCCGAGACCGGCAGGCCGAUGAUCAGCUCGCCCGCCUCCUGCGAAACAGAGCAGGAGCAGCAAAUUCACGCACAAUUGAAAUGUCGGGCAGACUCAGGGCACAGAGAAGAGAACGAGAAAGAAGAAGGGAAUUUUUCUACCUGCUGCUGAGCUACAUCGAGCAGCAUCAGCUCCAGCUUCUGCCCCCGUAGCUUCAGAACCUGACGGAAUCCACUAACCCAUCUUCAGACCCCCAAUAAACCGAACGGAGCAAAAGCGUAGUAGAUUUCGAGUGUGAGGGCGCGUACGGUGAGGGGGCGGGGCUGGGUGAUGCCACGGCCAACGGCGAUCCCUGUGCGUGCGGCGCCCAGGUCCACGCCGAGGCUGAACCCGCCGCCGUGCCAGAGCGGCCGGCGCGCGUUCGGCUGGAGCCUGGCAGGAAGCUCGCCACCGGCGUCCCCGCUGCAGGUGGCGGGAGGAGGCGAGGCCCUGGUAAUUCCUGCCCUUUGGCGCCGCGGUAGGCGCAGUGGAAGAAUUCGCGGGUAGGCGGCGGCCCGUGGGAGCGGCACCGGCGCCGCUGGCUUCGCGGUUGCCAUGGCGAAUCCGCGGAGAGAGGGGCAGUGCGAUAGAGAGACCUGCCAUUUUGUGGCUGGAUUUGUUUGGAUAAGGGCCCUUAUGGGCUUUAUUGAUCCAAGUAACCUUCGCUGAGCCUGUCAGUCACCUGGGCCCGUUAGCGUCGGCUCACUUUGCUCGCCGGCCCAGCGUAGCACGAUCAAGGCAUACAACAGCACAACUUGAGCUAAAAAACACACCAGACUUUGCUUUGUUCACCAUGUGUCCAUUGCCCUUGGGUAAAAAACAGCUCCAAUAGCACAAAAAAAAAUUGCUACAGGAGUGAUAUAUUUAGGUCUCACAAGCACAAGACAAAAGACGAAAACCGCAACUGUGGGAACCCAACCGCCAGAUCUGAAAUUUUCCGCCAUGACCACCAACGACCGUCGGAUGCCAUGGAAGGCAUCCUCGACACGACUGCCGCCUCCUGUAGCCUCCCCAUCGUGACCGCCGGCCCAGCAGUCGCCCCUCUCGUGCUUUCCCGUCGUCAGUGCCGAGAAGCCAAAGGUUGUCCACUUUAUAGGACUUGGACUGCCACCAACCAUCGUUGUGGACACCGGCGAAGCGUUGUAGGACCCCACCAAGGCUUCCCCGCAAGCGAAGAAGCUGACUAGGAAGAGGCCGCCGCGAGAUCCAUUGGCCAGGGUUGCGACCCACAAGAAGAAGAAGAAGAAGAAGAAGAAGAAGAAGAAGAAGAAGAAGAAGAAGAAGAACCAUCGGCGAUCCCUCCAACCACGACCCCAACUCCUCUAACACCGCCUAGGGCCAUUUGGCCACCCCUCCCACUGCCGCAUAAGGACGGGCCGACGUCACCCAUCGUCACAACCACCAACAUCCCCAAUGUGUUCAGUGAAAUGGCCAAGAGGUAAAAAAAAUCGUUUUAUGUUUUUCUAUGAUUUUCAUGUGCCUUUUCAUUUUGUAUGCAAUUUUUUAUGUGAUGUGCAUGUCUUUUGUUCAAAUUUGAUGUAUGUAGUGUGGAUGAUGAUUUUUUAUUUCCAUCACCAGAAGUUUCGUCUCAAGAAUAUGCACCACAAGAAGAGCACCUUCGUGACAUGGAAGAUGAGGGUUUUCUUGAUGCGAGCAAAUUACACUACCAAAGAAGACAAGUUGUUGUGGGGUGCAUGGAAGAAAAUUGGUCCUGGUCCGGUUAUAGGUAUUGAGCAACCAAUCUCAAGUUAUUGGGAGCGUAUAUGUGAGUACUUCAGGGCACAUAACACUAGUGGCAUUUAUCGAUCAGAAGUUUUGGUCUGACAACGAUGGUAAACUAUAUUGGUGGAUUGUCAAAAGUGGUCGGCAUACUUGGCAGAAUUUGACCGUCUCAACCCAAGUGGUACAAGUGCCGAAGAUAAAGUGACUGUUUUUUGCAUUGAUCAAUUAUUUCUUCAUCUCUUGUAUGCAUUGGUGGAUAUCUUAUUUUCUCACUUGUGGUAUGUAGCUCAACAUUGCUCAAGAAUUGUUUAGGAGCCAACCAAAAUACAAGGGAAGAGGCUAAAAAAAGGCAAUGUAUUCAUUUUGCACCCUUGUUGGAUGGAGAUUGAAAAUGAGGAGAAUAGGAAGAACCCACAAAUACAACUAAAUUCAAAAUAAGAAGAAGCUGAGGAUCUUGGUUGGCGAUGCAAUAAAAGUUGACACUCAUGAUGGUGCACCAAGUGUUGAGGAUGGAAAGAGAAACCCCACACCCAACUCAGUUGCUAACAUGAGGUCUGAUGGGAGGAAGAACGACAAGGACAAGUUGAAGAAGGGAGGAGACAAUCACUUCAAGGAAUCAUUGGACAACAUCAUGGCAAUAAUGAAGGAGAUGGCCAGAAAAGGAAGAACUUGAAGGCCAAAGAAAUGGAGGAGAGAAGGGAGGUUGAGGAGAGGAGAACGCCGACCAAGAAGAGUAGGGCUGAGUUUGAGGAGAGGAAGGCGGCCUACGAUGAAAGAAUCAAGAGCUUGGAAGUGAGGAAAAGCUUAUGUUCAUGGGCCCAAGUGAUCUUGAUGAGAAGGGAAUACCAUACUUUGAACUUAUGCACAUUCAGGUGUUGGCCGAAAGGUCAAUGUGAGACUUCUUGGGAGGUUCGGAGGCAUGGGUGGCAUGAAAGGAUUCAUGGGUGGCAUGGGUGACAAUGGAAACAAUGGUGCCAAUGAUGGUCAUGGAGUGAAUGCAAGCACUAGUGAUGGCAAUAGAGGAAAAAUCUUAUGAAAGCACAUGUUCCUUAUAAAAAAUCUAAAAGGUGGUCGAAAGUUUGUAAACCCGGUAUUAGUUUUUGGAAGUUUUCGGGGCAAUGGAAGGGCUGGUAGAAAGCUCAGGCCAACCCCAAGUAGGCAAGGGUAAAUAUUUUCAUCAACCGACCGAUAUUGUGGAUCGGUCGAUAGCCCACGCGAGCAUGGCUCUGCCCAUCAUGCUUGCUCUAUGAAGCUCAUGCGCGUUGCCCAUUGAAGUUGGCUCGACAACACCCUUGUAAUAGACUAAGUAUAGACCGAGUCAUGGUAGCACACAGGGGCAGAUGGAACCCCUCCAAAAUUGUGAAAUAAAUUUAGUACUUUGAAUGUAACACUAAAUAUCUAUCAAGUUGUUACUAUUUUAAGACUAUUUUAAGAUUAUCAUGAUGUUUGAUGUAAAAUUUGAACUGUGGCACCCCAAGGAUGAGAUUCUAGGUCCGCCACGUGCACCCACAGCCUCUUAAAAGGCCCUCUCCUGCGGCAAAGGGAUGGUGCUUCUCCACCUUUCCCCAUUGCCAUGGCAGGGAUUGAAGGAAAUAUGCCCUAGAGGCAAUAAUAAAGUUGUUAUUUAUAUUUCCUUAUAUCAUGAUAAAUAUUUAUUAUUCAUGCUAGAAUUGUAUUAACUGGAAACUUAGUACAUGUGUGAAUAUAUAGACAAACAAAGUGUCACUAGUAUGCCUCUACUUGACUAGCUCGUUGAAUCAAAGAUGGUUAAGUUUCCUAACCAUAGACAUGAGUUGUCAUUUGAUUAAUGGGAUCACAUCAUUAGAGAAUGAUGUGAUUGACUUGACCCAUCCAUUAGCUUAGCACGAUGAUCGUUUAGUUUGUUGCUAUUGCUUUCUCCAUAACUAUACAUGUUCCUAUGACUAUGAGCUCAUGCAACUCCCGAAUACCAGAGGAACACUUUGUGUGCUACCAAAUGUCACAACAUAACUGGUUGAUUAUAAAGGUGCUCUACAGGUGUCUCCGAUGAUGUUUGUUGAGUUGGCAUGGAUCAAGAUUAGGAUUUGUCACUCUGAUUGUCGGAGAGGUAUCUCUCGGCCCUCUCGAUAAUGUACAUCACAAUAAGCCUUGCAAGCAAUGUAGCUAAUGAGUUAGUUACGGGAUGUAUCAUUAUGGAACGAGUAGAGAGACUUGCCGGUAACGAGAUUGAACUAGGUAUUGAGAUACCGACGAUCGAAUCUCGGGCAAGUAACAUACCGAUGACAAAGGGAACAACGUAUGUUGUUAUGCGGUUUGACCGAUAAAGAUCUUCGUAGAAUAUGUAGGAACCAAUACGAGCAUCCAGGUUCCGCUAUUGGUUAUUGACCGGAGAUGAGUCUCGGUCAUGUCUACAUAGUUCUCGAACCCGUAGGGUCCGCACACUUAACGUUCGGUGACGAUCGGUAUUAUGAGUUUAUGUGUUUUGAUGUACCGAAGGUUGUUCGGAGUCCCCGAUGAGAUCAGGGACAUGACGAGGAGUCUUGAAAUGGUCGAGAGGUAAAGAUCGAUAUAUUGGAAGGCUAUAUUUGGACAUUGGAAAGGUUCUGAGUGGUUCGGGUAUUUAUCGGAGUACCAGAGAGUUAUGAGAAUUCGCCGGGGAGUGUAUGGGCCUUAUUAGGCUUUAGGGGAAAGAGAGAGGGGCUGCCUAGGGCAGGCUGCGCUCCCCCAAGGCCUAGUCCGAAUUGGACUAGGGGGAGGGGCGGCGCUCCCUCCUUCCUUCUCUCCUAGUCCUACUACAUGGAAGGGGGGAAUCCUACUCCCACCGGGAGUAGGACUCCCCAGGGCGGCGCCAUAUAUAGUAGAGAGCCGGCCCUCCCCCUCCUCCACUCCUUUAUAUACGGGGGAGGGGACACCCCAUGGACACACAAGUUGAUCAUUGAUCUUUUAGCCGUGUGCGGUGCCCCCUCCACCAUAAUCCACCUCGGUUAUAUCGUAGCGGUGCUUAGGCGAAGCCCUGUUCCGGUAGCAUCAUCAUCACCGUCAUCACGCCGUCGUGCUGACGAAACUCUCCGUCGAAGAUCUACUGGAUCGUGAGUUCACGGACGUCACCGAGCUGAACGUGUGCAGAUCGCGGAGGUGUUGUACCUUCGGUGCUAGAUCGGUCGAUCAUGAAGACGUACGACUACAUCAACCGCAUUGUCAUAACGCUUCCGCUUACGGUCUACGAGGGUACAUAGACGAUACUCUCCCCUCUCGUUGCUAUGCAUCACCAUGAUCUUGCGUGUGCAUAGGAUUUUUUUUGAAAUUACUACGUUCCCCAACAGUGGCAUCAGAGCCAGAUUUAUACGUAGAUGUUAUAUGCACGAGUAGAACACAAAGGAGUUGUGGGCGUGGUUAUAUACAUAUUGCUUGCCGUCACUAGUUGAUUCUUGAUUCGGCGGUAUUGUUGGAUGAAGCGGCUCAGACCGACAUUACGCGUACGCUUACGCGAGACUGGUUCUACCGACGUGCUUCGCACACAUGUGGCUGGUGGGUGUCAGUUUCUCCAACUUUAGUUGAAUCGCAUUCAAUGAACAGGGUUAUUUCUGAAUAUCAAAAAGCAAUCACUAUACCGUGUUGUGGUUUUUGAUGCGUACGUAAGAACGGUUCUUGCUCAGCCCGUAGCAGCCACGUAAAACUUGCAACAACAAAGUAGAGGACGUCUAACUUGUUUUUGCUGGGCUUGUUGUGAUGUGAUAUGGUCAAGACGUGAUGAGAUAUAAAUUUUUGUAUGAGAUGAUCAUGUUUUGUUAAAGUUAUCGGCAACUCGCAGGAGCCUUAUGGUUGUCUCUUUAUUGCAUAGGAUGCAAGCGCCAUAUAAUUGCUUUACUUUAUCACUAUGUGAUAGCAAUAGUUGGUGAGACGACCAUGUGAUGACACGUUGAUAAAGAUCAAGAUGAUGGAGAUCAUGUUGUCAUGCCGGUGACGAUAGAGAUCAUGACGGUGUUUUGGAGAUGGAGAUCAAAGGCACAAGAUAAUGAUGGACAUAUCAUGUCACAUAUUUUGAUUGCAUGUGAUGUUUAUCUUUUAUACAUCUUAUUUUGCUUAGUUCGGCGGUAGCAUUAUAAGAUGAUGUCUCACUAAAUUUCAAGGGAUAAGUGUUCUCCCUGAGUAUGCACCGUUGUGACAGUUUGUCGUGCCGAGACACCACGUGAUGAUCGGGUGUGAUAAGCUCUCCGUUCACAUACAGCGGGUGCAAGCCUAUUUUGCACAUGCAGAAUACUCAGGUUGAACUUGACGAGCCUAGCAUAUGUAGAUAUGGCCUCGGAACACUGGAGACCGAAAGGUCAAGCGUGAAUCAUAUAGUAGAUAUGAUCAACAUAGUGAUGUUCACCAUUGAAAACUACUCCAUCUCACAUGAUGAUCGGACAUGGUUUAGUUGAUUUGGAUCAUGUGAUCAUUUAGAUGACUAGAUCGAUGUCUAUCUAAGUGGGAGUUCUUAAGUAAUAUGAUUAAUUGAACUUUAAUUUAUCAUGAACUUAGUCCUGAUAGUAUUUGCAUAUAUAUGUUGUAGAUCAAAAGCUUGCGAUGUAGCUCCCCGUUUAUUUUUGAUAUGUUCCUAGAGAAAAAUAAGUUGAAAGAUGUUAGUAGCAAUGAUGCGGACUAGCUCCGUGAUCUGAGGGUUAUCCUCAUUGUUGCACAGAAGUAGUAUGUCCUUGAUGCACCGCUAGGUGACGGACCUAUCGCAGGAGCAGAUACAGACGUUACGAACGUUUGACAGAGCUCGGUAUGAUGACUACUUGAUAGUUUAGUGCACCAUGCUUUACGGCUUACAACCGGGACAUCAAAAACGUUUUGAACGCCACGGAGCAUAUGAGAUGUUCCAAGAGUUGAAUUAGUAUUUCAGACUCAUGCCCGAGUCGAUAGGUAUGAGACCUCUGACAAGUACUUUGCCUACAAGAUGGAGGAGAAUAGCUCAGCUAGUGAGCAUGUGCUCAGAAUGUCUGAGUACUACAAUCACUUGAAUCAAGUGGGAGUUAAUCUUCCAGAUAAUAUAGUGAUUGACAGAGUUCUCUAGUCACUAUCACCAAGUUACUAGAACUUCGUGAUGAACUAUAAUAUGAAAGGGAUAACAGAAAUGAUUCCCAAGCUCUUCGUGAUGCUGAAAUCAGCAAAUGAAGAAAUCAAGAAAAGCAUCAAGUGUUGAUGGCUGACAAGACCACUAGUUUCAAGUAAAAGGGCAAGGGAAAGAAAGAGAACUUCAAGAAGAAUGGCAAGCAAGUUGCCACUCCCAUGAAGAAGCCCAAAGCUAGACCCAAGCCAGGAACUGAGUGCUUCUAUUACAAAGGAAAUGGUCACUGGAAGUGGAACUGCCCUAGAUACUUGGCAGAUAAGAAGGAUGGCAAAGUGAACAAAAGUAUAUUUGAUAUACAUGUUAUUGAUGUGUACUUUAUUAGUGUUUAUAGAAACCCCUCAGUAUUUGAUACUAGUUCAGUUGCUAAGAGUAGUAACUCGAAACAGGAGUUGCAAAAUAAACAGAGACUAGUUAAGGGCGAUGUGAUGAUAUGUGUUGGAAGUGAUUCCAAGGUUGAUAAGAUCACCAUCGCACAAUCCCUUUUCCUUCGGGAUUAGUGUUGAACCUAAAAUAAAUGUUAUUUGGUGUUUGCGUUGAGCAUGAAUAUGAUUGGAUCAUGUUUACUGCAAUACAGUUAUUCAUUUAAGUCAAAGAAUAAUUGUUGUUCUAUUUACAUGAAUAAAACCUUCUAUGGUCAUACACUCAAUAUAAAUGGUUUAUUGAAUCUCGACCGUAGUGAUACACAUAUUCAUAAUAUUGAAGCCAAAAGAUGCAAAGUUAAUAAUGAUAGUGCAACUUAUUUGUGGCACUGCCGUUUAGGUCAUAUUGGUGUAAAGCGCAUGAAGAAACUCCAUGCUGAUGGGCUUUUGGGAUCACUUGGUUAUGAAUCACUUGAUGCUUACGAACCAUGCCUCAUGGGCAACAUGACUAAGACUCCGUUCUCCGGAACAAUGGAGCAAGCAACUGACUUAUUGGAAAUAAUACAUACUGAUGUAUGCGGUCCAAUGAGUGUUGAGGCUCGCGGUGGGUAUUGUUAUUUUCUGACCUUCACAGAUGAUUUGAGCAGAUAUGGGUAUAUCUACUUGAUGAAACAUAAGUCUGAAACAUUUGAAAAGUUCAAUGAAUUUCAGAGUGAAGUGGAAAAUCAUCAUAACAAGAAAAUAAAGUUUCUAUGAUCUGAACGUGGAGACGAAUAUUUGAGUUACGAGUUUGGUCUUCAAUUAAAACAAUGUGGAAUAGUUUCACAAACGCAUGCCACCUGGAACACCAUAGCAUAAUGGUGUGUCCGAACGUCGUAAUCACACUUUACUAGAUAUGGUGGGAUCUAUGAUGUCUCUUACUGGUUUACUGCUAUCAUUUUGGGGUUAUGCAUUAGAAACAGCUGCAUUCAUGUUAAAUAGGGCACCAUCUAAAUCUGUUGAGAUGACACCGUAUGAACUAUGGUUGGCAAGAAACCUAAGCUGUUGUUUCUUAAAGUUUGGGGUUGCAAUGCUUAUGUGAAAAAGUUUCAACCUGAUAAGCACGAACCCAAAUCGGAGAAGUGCGUCUUCAUAGGAUACCCAAAAGAAAAUGUUGGAUACACCUUCUAUCACAGAUCCGAAGGCAAGAUCUUUGUUGCUAAGAAUGGAUCCUUUCUAGAGAAGGAGUUUCUCUCGAAAGAAGUGAGUGGGAGGAAAGUAGUACUUGCUGAGGUAACUGUAGCUGCUCCCUUAUUGGAAAGUAGUUCAUCACAGAAAUCUAUUCCUAUGACUCCUACACCAAUUAGUGAGGAAGAUAUUGAUGAUGAUCAUGUAACUUCAGAUCAAGUUACUACCGAACCUCGUAGGUCAACCAGAGUGAGAUCCUGAUACAUCUCUGUCGUAUCUAUAAUUUUUGAUUGUUCCAUGCCAAUAUUAUUCAACUUUCAUAUACUUUUUGGCAACUUUUUAUAUUAUUUUUGGGACUAACAUAUUGAUCCAGUGCCCAGUGUCAGUUCCUGUCUGUUGCAUGUUUUUGGUUUCGCAGAAUAUCCAUAUCAAACGAAGUCCAAACGGGAUAAAAACGGAUGGAGCUUAUUUUUGGAAAAUAUGGAAAAUUCGGAAGGAAAAUCAACGCGAACCAGUGCCCGAGGUGGUCACGAGGCAGGGGGGUGCCCCCCCCUAGGGCGCGCCCCUACCCUCGUGAGCCCACCGUAAGGCGGUUGACGCUCUUCUUUUGCCGCAAGAAAGCUAAUAUUAAAAAAAAAUCACAGCGAAGGUUUCAGGCCAAUCGUAGUUACGAAUCUCUAUAUAUAUACGAAACGGUGAAACAAAGCCAGAACAGAACGCAGAACCAGAGAGAUAGAUCCAAUCUCGGAGGGGCUCUCGCCCCUCCCAUGCCAUGGAGGCCAAGGACUAGAGGGGAAACCCUUCUCCCAUCUAGGGAGGAGGUCAAGGAAGAAGAGGAAGAAGGGGGCCCCUCUCCCCCUCUCCUCCGAUGGCGCCGGAACACCGCCGUGGCCAUCAUCAUCAUCACCGCGAUCUUCACCAACACCUCCGCCAUCUUCACCAACAUCUCCAUCACCUUCCCCCCUCUAUCUACUGCGGCCCACUCUCCCGCAACCCGUUGUACCCUCUACUUGAACAUGGUGCUUUAUGCUUCAUAUUAUUAUCCAAUGAUGUGUUGCCAUCGUAUGAUGUCUGAGUAGAUUUUCGUUGUCCUAUCGGUGGUUGAUGAAUUGCUAUGAUUGAUUUAAUUUGCUUGUGGUUAUGUUGUUGUACUUCGGUGCCUAUCAUAUGAGCGCGCGCGUGGAUCACAUCAUAGGGUUAGUUGUAUGUUGAUAGGACUAUGUAUUGGAGGGCAAGAGUGACAGAAGCUUCAACCUAGCAUAGAAAUUAAUACAUACGGGAUUGAAGGGGGACCAAUAUAUCUUAAUGCUAUGGUUGGGUUUUACCUUAAUGAACAUUAGUAGUUGCGGAUGCUUGCUAAUAGUUCCAAUCAUAAGUGCAUAGAAUUCCAAGUCAGGGAUGACAUGCUAGUAGUGGCCUCUCCCACAUAAUACAUGCUAUCGGUCUAGUAAAGUAGUUAAAAUCUUAGGGGCAAUUUCGCAACUCCUACCACCACUUUUCCACACUCACUAUAUUUACUUUAUUGUUUCUUUAUCUAAACAACCCCUACUUUUAUUUACGUACUCUUUAUUAUCUUGCAAACCUAUCCAACAACACCUACAAAGUACUUCUAGUUUCAUACUUGUUCUAGGUAAAGCAAACGUCAAGCGUGCGUAGAGUUGUAUCGGUGGUCGAUAGAACUUGAGGGAAUAUUUAUUCUACCUUUAGCUCCUCGUUGGGUUCGACACUCUUACUUAUCGAAAACUGUUGCGAUCCCCUAUACUUGUGGGUUAUCAAGACCUUUUUCUGGCGCCGUUGCCGGGGAGCAAUAGCGUGGGCUGAAUAUUCUUGUGUGUGCUUGUUUGUUUUAUCACUGAGUAAUUUUUAUUUGUUGUUCUUAGUUGUUUUCUACCUUUAGUUAUGGGUAGGAAACGCAAAAUACCAAAAACUUAGUUGUACCUACUGAACCAAUGGUUGAAGAGCCACUCAAAAUCUAUCACACUGCUGAAGCUUUUUACUUGGAUCAUCUUCGAUCCCUUUGUGCUCGUGCUGAAACCCCAACUAGCUUAGUUGAGGGCAAAUCUUUAGAUGAGCAUGCUUGUUAUGUGCGACACCGUAUAUUUGAAAAAGGGAAACUAUUAUGGAGUCAAAUUCAACAUUUGCAAUGCUAUGCUUGGAAUUUAUGUGAAAUAUAUGAUUUUACUUGUUGUUCUGAAAACCCUAAGAAACACCUUCCCUAUCAAUGUGAGUUUAGUAAUAAUGGAAUCGUAUCUUCGUAUGCUAAGGGUGUUUAUAAUUACUAUGAUGUUCAACAAAUUGAAGAAUUUGUUGCUUUUAAGGGUGCUUCUGAAAUUGCUUCUUUGAUCGAAAAGUAUGAUGAUACUCUUCACAAAUCUGAAAAUUUUGCCAUACUUGAAUAUUGUUAUGAGAAUUAUGCUUCUAAUGCUUAAGUUAAACUAUAUAUUGAGGACUACUCCGCUAUACAAGAAGAGACUAAUAUUUUGCAGGAGUCUAUGGAAGAAUAAAUUGAUAAAACUGUGAGCUCAUUGGAUGAAAAAGAUGAGGAGGAGAGCGAAGAACAAAAGGAGGAAGAGCGGAUUGAUCACCCGUGCCCACCUUCUAAUGAGAGUAACUCUUCAACUCAUACAUUGUUUAAUUCCCCUUCAUGCUUACCGAAGGAUGAUUGCUAUGAUGACUGUUAUGAUCCCAUUGAUUCUCUUGAAAUAUCCCUUUUUGAUGAUGCUUGCUAUGCUUGUGGCCAAGAUGCCAAUAUGAAUUAUGCUUAUGGAGAUGAACUUGCUAUAGUUCCUUAUGUUAAACAUGAAAUUGUUGCUAUUGCACCCACGCAUGAUAGUCCUAUUAUAUUUUUGAAUUCUCCCAACUACACUAUAUCGGAGAAGUUUGCCCUUAUUAAGGAUUAUAUUGAUGGGUUGCCUUUUACUGUUACACAUGAUGAUUUUAAUGAAUAUAAUAUGCAUGUGCUUGCUGCUCCUACUUGCAAUUAUUAUGAGAGAGGAACUAUAUCUCCACAUCUCUAUGUUUCCAACAUGAUAAAAUUGCAAGAAACGGUUUAUACUAUGCAUUGGCCUUAACUAGGUGUGCAUGAAUGUUCUUUUAUGACAUGUCGAUGCAUAGGAAGAGAGUUAGACUUCGUCAUUGCUUGAUAUAUGUUACUUUGUGCUCACUACUAAAUUACAAGUCAUUGCUAAUUAAAAUUGGUUUUGAUAUACCUUGGGAUCCGGGUGGAUUCACUACUUGAGCACUAUAUGCCUAGCUUAAUGGCUUUAAAGAAAGCGCUGCCAGGGAGACAACCCGGAAGUUUUAGAGAGUCAUUUAUUUCUAUUUAGUGCUUUCAUAUAGUUUAAAAACAACAAAAUAAAGAGGGGAACCCAAAACUUUUUCAAAAAGGAAAGCGAAAGUGAGAAAGACAAGCAUUGUUGAAGUGAGAGAGCUCCUUGAACUUUGUUCAUGCUCACGGCAACUUUGUGAAUCUUGAUUACAGAAAAUUUUCAACAAAAAUAAUUAUCCCCUUGUACAAUUCCUUUGUAUUAUAAAAAUAAUGUGCCAAGGUUUGCCUUUAGGAUGUUUACAUUUGCUUGAUGGUUUGUACGGUGCAGGACAGAAACUUUGGCUGUAGUGCAUGAUUUUACAUUUUUAGCUGGAAUGUCAAAUGGUUCUGAUUCUUUUUGCACUGUCUUCCUACACAAAUUGUUUAUUGUUCCUAAUUUUUACAGAAUUUUUCAAGUAUGAGAAGUAUGGUGAAUUCUCAAAUUAUUACAGAUUGUUCUGUUUUAGACAAAUUCUGUUUUUGAUGCAUAGUUUGCUUGUUUUGAUGAAACUAUCGAUUCAUAUCAGUGGAUUAAGCCAUGAAAAAGUUAUACUACAGUAGACACAAUUCAAAAACAAAAUAUGAAUUGGUUUGCAACAGUACUUAGAGUAGUAAUUUGCUUUAUUAUACUAACGGAUCUGACCGAGUUUUCUGUUGAAGUUUUGUGUGGAUGAAGUGUUCGAUGAUUGAGAAGGUUUCGAUGUGAGAAGAAGGAAGAGAGGCAAGAGCUCAAGCUUGGGGAUGCCCGAGGCACCCCAAGUAAAUAUUCAAGGAGACUCAACCGUCUAAGCUUGGGGAUGCUGGGGAGGCAUCCCCUCUUUCUUCAACAAGUAUCGGUAUGUUUUCGAAUUCGUUUCGUUCAUGCGAUAUGUGCAAGUCUUGGAGCGUCUUUUGCAUUUAGGUUUUUCUUUUUAUUUUUAUGCACCAUGCUGGUAUGAGAUAGUCCUUGGUUUAUUUAUAGAAUGCUCAUUGCACUUCACUUAUAUCUUUUGAGUAUGGCUUUAUAGAAUGCUUCAUGUGCUUCACUUAUAUCAUUUGAAGUUUGGAUUGCCUGUUUCUCUUCACUUAGACAACCGUCAUUUGUAGAAUGCACUUUUGCUUCACUUAUACUUGUUAGAGCAUGGGCAUACCUUUUGUAGAAAGAAUUAAACUCUCUUGCUUCACUUAUAUCUAUUUAGAGAGAUGACAGGAAUUGGUCAUUCACAUGGUUAGUCAUAAAAUCCUACAUAAAACUUGUAGAUCACUAAAUAUGAUAUGUUUGAUUCCUUGCAAUAGUUUUGUGAUAUAAAUAUGGUGAUAUUAGAGUCAUGCUAGUGGGUAGUUGUGGAUUGUAGAAAUACUUGUGUUGAAGUUUGUGAUUCCCGUAGCAUGCACGUAUAGUGAACCGUUAUGUGAUGAAGUCGGAGCAUGAGGUAUUUAUUGAUUGUCUUCCUUAUGAGUGGCGGUCGGGGACGAGCGAUGGUCUUUUCCUACCAAUCUAUACCCCUAGGAGCAUGCACGUAGUACUUUAUUUCGAUGACUAAUAGAUUUUUGCAAUAAAUAUGUGAGUUCUUUAUGACUAAUGUUGAGUCCAUGGAUUAUACGCACUCUCACCCUUCCAUCAUUGCUAGCCUCUCUAGUCCCGUGCAACUUUCACCGGUACCAUAAACCCACCAUAUACCUUCCUCAAAACAGCCACCAUACCUACGUAUCAUGGCAUUUCCAUAGCCAUUCCAAGAUAUAUUGCCAUGCAACUUCCAUCAUCAUCAUAUACAUGACUUGAGCAUUCAUUGUCAUAUUGCUUUGCAUGAUCGUAAGAUAGCUAGCAUGAUGUUUUCAUGGCUUGUCCGUUUUUUUGAUGUCAUUGCUACGCUAGAUCAUUGCACAUCCCGGUACACUGCCGUAGGCAUUCAUAUAGAGUCAUAUCUUUGUUCUAGAUAUCGAGUUGUAAGUAAAUAAAAGUGUGAUGAUCAUCAUUAUUAGGACAUUGCCCCAGUGAGGAAGGGAUGAUGGAGACUAUGAUUCCCCCACAAGUCGGGAUGAGACUCCGGACGAAUAUAUAUAUAUAUAUAUAUAUAUAUAUAUAUAUAUAUAUAGAGAGAGAGAGAGAGAGAGAGAGAGAGAGAGAGAAAGGCCAAAAAAGGCCCAAAAAAGCAAAAAAAUUGAGAGAAAAAGAGAGAAGGGGCAAUGUUACUAUCCUUUUACCACACUUGUGCUUCAAAGUAGCACCAUGUUCUUCACAUAGAGAGUCUCUUGAGUUGUCACUUUCAUAUACUAGUGGGAAUUUUCAUUAUAGAACUUGGCUUGUAUAUUCCGAUGAUGGGCUUCCUCAAAUGCCCGAGGUCUUCAUGAGCAAGCAAGUUGGAUGCACACCCACUUAGUUUCAGUUAGAGCUUUCAUACACUUAUAACUCUAGUGCAUCCAUUGCAUGGCAAUCCCUACUCACUCACAUUGAUAUCUAUUGAUGGGCAUAUCCAUAGCCCGUUGAUACGCCUAGUUGAUGUGAGACUAUCUUCUCCUUUUUGUCUUCUCCACCAUCAUAUUUUAUUUCACCUAUAAUGCUAUGUCCAUGGCUCAUGCUCAUGUAUUGCGUGAAAGUUGAAAAGGUUUGAGAACGUCAAAAGUAUGAAACAAUUGCUUGGCUUGUCAUCGGGGUUGUGCAUGAUGUGAAUAUUUUGUGUGGUGAAGAUGGAGCAUAGCGAGACAAUAUGAUUUUGUAGGGAUAACUUUCUUUGGCCAUGUUAUUUUGAAAAGACAUGAUUGCUUUAUUAGUAGGCUUGAAGUAUUAUUGUUUUUAUGUCAAAAUAUAGAUUAUUGCUUUGAAUCACUCGUGUCUUAAUAUUCAUGCCAUGAUUAGACAUAUGAUCAAGAUUAUGCUAGGUAGCAUUCCACAUCAAAAAUUAUCUUUUUUAUCAUUUACCUACUCGAGGACGAGCAGGAAUUAAGCUUGGGGAUGCUGAUACAUCUCUGUCGUAUCUAUAUUUUUGAUUGUUCCAUGCCAAUAUUAUUCAACUUUCAUAUACUUUUUGGCAACUUUUUUAUAUUAUUUUUGGGACUAACAUAUUGAUCCAGUGCCCAGUGCCAGUUCCUAUCUGUUGCAUGUUUUUGGUUUCACAGAAUAUCCAUAUCAAACGGAGUCCAAACGGGAUAAAAACAGACGGAGCUUAUUUUUGGAAAAUAUGGAAAAUUCGGAAGGAAAAUCAACGUGAACCAGUGCCCGAGGUGGUCACGAGGCAGGGGGCGCCCCCCUAGGGCGCGCCCCCUACCCUCGUGAGCCCACCGUAAGGCGGUUGACGCUCUUCUUUUGCCGCAAGAAAGCUAAUAUUAAAAAAAAAAUCACAGCGAAGGUUUCAGGCCAAUCGUAGUUACGAAUCUCUAUAUAUAUACGAAACGGUGAAACAAAGCCAGAACAGAACGCAGAACCAGAGAGAUAGAUCCAAUCUCGGAGGGGCUCUCGCCCCUCCCAUGCCAUGGAUGCCAAGGACCAGAGGGGAAACCCUUCUCCCAUCUAGGGAGGAGGUCAAGGAAGAAGAGGAAGAAGGGGGCCCCUCUCCCCCUCUCCUCCGGUGGCGCCGGAACGCCGCCGUGGCCAUCAUCAUCAUCACCACGAUCUUCACCAACACCUCCGCCAUCUUCACCAACAUCUCCAUCACCUUCCCCCUUCUAUCUACAGCGGCCCACUCUCCCGCAACCCGCUGUACCCUCUACUUGAACAUGGUGCUUUAUGCUUCAUAUUAUUAUCCAAUGAUGUGUUGCCAUCCUAUGAUGUCUGAGUAGAUUUUCGUUGUCCUAUCGGUGGUUGAUGAAUUGCUAUGAUUGAUUUAAUUUGCUUGUGGUUAUGUUGCCAUCCUUUGGUGCCCAUCAUAUGAGCGCGCGCGUGGAUCACACCAUAGGGUUAGUUGUAUGUUGAUAGGACUAUGUAUUGGAUGGCAAGAGUGACAGAAGCUUCAACCUAGCAUAGAAAUUGAUGCGUAUAGGAUUGAAGGGGGGCCAAUAUAUCUUAAUGCUAUGGUUGGGUUUUACCUUAAUGAACAUUAGUAGUUGCGGAUGCUUACUAAUAGUUCCAAUCAUAAGUGCAUAGAAUUCUAAGUCAGGGAUGACAUGCUAGCAGUGGCCUCUCCCACAUAAUACUUGCUAUCGGUCUAGUAAAGUAGUCAAUUGCUUAGGGGCAAUUUCGCAACUCCUACCACCACUUUUCCACACUCGCUAUAUUUACUUUAUUUUUUCUUUAUCUAAACAGCCCCUACUUUUAUUUACGUACUCUUUAUUAUCUUGCAAACCUAUCCAACAACACCUACAAAGUACUUCUAGUUUCAUACUUGUUCUAGGUAAAGCAAACGGCCAAGCGUGCGUAGAGUUGUAUCGGUGGUCGAUAGAACUUGAGGGAAUAUUUGUUCUACCUUUAGCUCCUCGUUGGGUUCGACACUCUUACUUAUCGAAAACUGUUGUGAUCCCCUAUAGUUGUGGGUUAUCAGAUCCGCACCAGAGUGGUACGGUAAUCCUGUUCUGGAGGUCAUGUUACUUGACCAUGACGAACCUACGAACUAUGAGGAAGCGAUGAUGAGCCCAGAUUCCACGAAAUGGUUUGAGGCCAUGAAAUCUGAGAUAACAUCCAUGUAUGAGAACAAAGUGUAGACUUUGGUUGACUUGCCCGUUAAUCGGCAAGCCGUUGAGAAUAAAUGGAUUUUCAAGAGGAAGACAGACGCUGAUAGUAGUGUUACUAUCUACAAAGCUCGAAUUGUCGCAAAAGGGUUUCGACAAGUUCAAGGUGUUGACUACGAUGAGAUUUUCUCACUCGUAGCGAUGCUUAAGUCUGUCCGAAUCAUGUUAGCAAUUGCCACAUUUUACGAAAUCUAGCAAAUGGAUGUCAAAACUAUAUUCCUUAAUGGUUUUCUUAAAGAAGAGUUGUAUAUGAUGCAACCAGAAGGUUUUGUCAAUCCUAAAGGUACUAACAAAUUGUGCAAGCUCCAGCGAUCCAUCUAUGGACUGGUGCAAGCAUCUCGGAGUUGGAAUGUAUGCUUUGAUAGUAUGAUCAAAGCAUAUAGUUUUAUACAGACUUGCGGUGAAGCCUGUAUUUACAAGAAAGUGAGUGGGAGCACUACAACAUUUCUGAUAAGUAUAUGUGAAUGACAUAUUGUUGAUCGAAAAUAAUGUAGAAAUUUCUGGAAAGCAUAAAGGAGUGUUUGAAAGGAGUUUUUCAAAGAAAGACCUUGGUGAAGCUACUUACAUAUUGAGCAUCAAGAUCUAUAGAGAUAGAUCAAGUUGCUUGAUAUAUUUUCACUGAGUACAUAUCUUGACAAGAUUUUGAAGUAGUUCAAAAUGGAACAAUCAAAGAAGGAGUUCUUGCCUAUGUUGCAAGGUGUGAAGUUGAGUAAAGACUCAAAACCCCACCACGACAGAAAAUAGAAAGAGAAUGAAAAGUCAUUCCCUAUGCCUCAAUCAUAGGUUCUAUAAAGUAUGCUAUGCUGUGUACUAGACCUAUUGUGUACCUCACCAUAAGUUUGGCAAAAGGACACAAUAGUGAUCAUCACUGGACAGCGGUCAAAAAUAUCCUUAGUGGAAUAAGGAAAUAGUUCUCGGUUAUGGAGGUGACUGAUAGAGGCGGGGGUGUCCCGAUCUUUCGAUUUGGUGGAGACGACUUUGACGAUCCGACUACAAACGUGCACGACAUUGCGCCUUAGCAAUCGCUAAACCAAUCUCCUGAGGUUACUGACGAUGCCGAAAGCACAGUCAGCCUGACCACGAAGGUCUAUUCCUGCAAGCAAUCGAAGAACGAGCAAGAAUAUGAUAAAGCAAUCUGAAUAUUGCAAAUAUAUAUGAGGUAUUGAUAAUGGUGGGGAUCCGGAAGCGGUCUUGGUCUGGUCGUUGGACACAAACGAAGUACACGAAGUUGCAAUGGCUAACUUUUAACUAAACAAAUCCCCAGGAAAAGCUACUACAUGGAUCUACUUAUAUAGGAGCAAGGGGUGGCGGCCAAGGAGGUGGGAGGACGUCCCAAGGCAGCCUAAAACUAAAUCUAGGUCGUACAAGGCCAAUGGGCCCAAGUGGAGGUGAUGUAACACCUUUGGACUUGUAGUUUGACUCGGAUUCUGCUGCAGCAUCAGAUUGUUUCGUCCACAACUCAACGCUCCGGACGAAUUUGAAGGUGAUUCCAAUUGGGUUGGAAAGUGCACGAAAUCUAGUUUCCAACAAAAAAAGAAUCACCCAAUUCGGAGUCCGUAUGAAAAACUUAUGUGCGUUUUGAGUUAGGUGUGUCUGUGCAGUCCGAAUCUGAAUCCAGAACGUGAGAGACUUGGACUCUAUCUUCUCUUGGGCCAAAAGUGACGUGAGAGAACUUUUUGAACAGCAAAUAAACAUCUCUUUCUUCCGUAUCUACAUAUGUGGAUUGUACAAAUGUCCCAUACACCUGCAAUUAGACAAAACACAAAAGUGUGUGAUGUAUUUUUGUUCUGGAUAACAUAAAUAGAUUAUUGAAUAGUUUGCACUAGAAAUCACCUGACAAAUAUGCAUAUAUGCAAUAUUUUUGGUCAUAUCCAAGGUAUUCAUGUCCUCAUCAGUGACAAAGAGUUCUUCGUAAAGAGUUACGUCGAUGCAAGCUUUGACACCAAUCUGGAUGACUCUAAGUCUCGAUCUAGAUACAUAUUGAAAGUGGGAGCAAUUAGCUAGAGUAGCUCUAUGCAAAGCAUUGUAGACAUAGAAAAUUUGCAAAAUACAUACGGCUCUGAAUGUGGCAGACCCGUUGACUAAAUUCUUCUCACAAGUAAAAUAUGAUCACUCUUUGGGUGUUAAUCACAUAGCGAUGCGAACUAGAUUAUUGACUCUAGUAAACCCUUUGGGUCUUAGUCACAUGGAGAUGUGAACUAAUCACAUAGAGAUGUGAACUAUUGGUGUUAAAUCACAUGACGAUGUGAACUAGAUUAUCAACUCUAGUGCAAGUGGGAGACUGAAGGAAAUAUUCCCUAGAGGCAAUAAUAAAGUUGUUAUUUAUAUUUCCUUAUAUCAUGAUAAAUGUUUAUUAUUCAUGCUAGAAUUGUAUUAACCAGAAACUCAGUACAUGUGUGAAUAUAUAGACAAACAGAGUGUCACUAGUAUGCCUCUACUUGACUAGCUCGUUGAAUCAAAGAUGGUUAAGUUUCCUAACCAUAGACAUGAGUUGUCAUUUGAUUAAUGGGAUCACAUCAUUAGAGAAUGAUGUGAUUGACUUGACCCAUCCGUUAGCUUAGCACGAUGAUCAUUUAGUUUAUUGCUAUUGCUUUCUCCAUAACUAUACAUGUUCCUAUGACUAUGAGAUCAUGCAACUCCCGAAUACCGGAGGAACACUUUGUGUGCUACCAAACUUCACAACGUAACUGGUUGAUUAUAAAGGUGCUCUACAGGUGUCUCCGAUGAUGUUUGUUGAAUUGGCAUGGAUCAAGAUUAGGAUUUGUCACUCCGAUUGUCGGAGAGGUAUCUCUGGGCCCUCUCGAUAAUGUACAUCACAAUAAGCCUUGCAAGCAAUGUAGCUAAUGAGUUAGUUACAGGAUGUAUCAUUACGGAACGAGUAAAGAGACUUGUUGGUAACGAGAUUGAACUAGGUAUUGAGAUACCGAUGAUCGAAUCUCGGGAAAGUAACAUACCGAUGACAAAGGGAACAACGUAUGUUGUUAUGCGGUUUGACCGAUAAAGAUCUUCGUAGAAUGUGUAGGAACCAAUAUGAGCAUCCAGGUUCCGCUAUUGGUUAUUGACCGGAGAUGAGCCUUGGUCAUGUCUACAUAGUUCUCGAACCCGUAGGGUCCGCACACUUAACGUUCGGUGACGAUCGGUAUUAUGAGUUUAUGUGUUUUGAUUUACCGAAGGUUGUUCAGAGUCCCGGAUGAGAUCAGGGACAUGACGAGGAGUCUCGAAAUGUUUGAGAUGUAAAGAUCGAUAUAUUGGAAGGCUAUAUUCGGACAUCGUAAAGGUUUUGAGUGGUUCGGGUAUUUAUCGGAUUACCGGAGAGUUACGGGAAUUCGGCGGGGAGUAUAUGGGCCUUAUUGGGCUUUAGGGGAAAGAGAGAGGGGCUGCCUAGGGCAGGCUGCGCGCCCCCAAGGCCUAGUCCGAAUUGGACUAGGGGAGGGGCGGCGCCCCCUCCUUCUUUCUCUUCUCUUUUCCCUUUCCUUCUCUCCUAGUCCUACUACAUGGAAGGGGGGAAUCCUACUCCCACCGGGAGUAGGACUCCCCAGGGCGGCGCCAUAUAUAGUAGAGAGCCGGCCCUCCCCCUCCUCCACUCCUUUAUAUACGGGGGAGGGGGCACCCCAUGGACAAAUAAGUUGAUCAUUGAUCUUUUAGCCGUGUGCGGUGCCCCCCUCCACCAUAAUCCACCUCGGUUAUAUCGUAGCGGUACUUAGGCAAAGCCCUAUUCCGGUAGCAUCAUCAUCACCGUCAUCACGCCGUCGUGCUGACGAAACUCUCCCUCGAAGCUCUACUGGAUCGUGAGUUCACGGGACAUCACCGAGCUGAACGUGUGCAGAUCGCAGAGGUGUCGUACCUUCGGUGCUAGAUCGGUCGAUCGUGAAGACGUAUGACUACAUCAACCGCGUUGUCAUAACGCUUCCGCUUACGGUCUACGAGGGUACGUAGAUGGUACUCUCCCCUCUCGUUGCUAUGCAUCACCAUGAUCUUGCGUGUGUGUAGAAUUCUUUUGAAAUUAUUACGUUCCCCAACAGGGAUAUAUCACGUGAGCCUGCUACACCACCAUGACAAUCUUGGUGGAGCUUGAUCCUAGGUUCUCUAUCGUGGGAGCCUUCGUGAGACCAUGCACAGACGGAAUAGGUAAUGGGUCGCCGGAUCUGACACCAAUACGGCUCCGAUGAGCUAGAUUUGACGCCAAUCAGCCCGGGUGGCGAGGUCCAUCUAAAAAAUGGACAAUUAGUGAUUUUGUCGACUUUAAUCAAGCAUACUUAUCUUGAUUCGCUAUAAGCUCAUGUGUGUUUGGUCCAAACACACGAGCAACAUGCAAGGUAUAUGUAUAAAAUGUUGCAUUCAUGCUGCAAGGGUUGGCUUCUAUGUUGCAGCAUGAUGCUCUUUUUGAAAAAAAAUCGUUGCGAACAUUUGUACAAAAAGUUACUUCAUGGAUUGUGCAGAGAGAUAAUUUGCAAUACAAUGAUGAUGCAUUGAUAGGGUGCUGGUGCACAUAUAUAUAUUACAAGGGAAGGCCUCUACCUCAAUUAUACAAAACUAGGAGGUGGGCCACAACUCCAAUACACGUGUGAUACAAAAUAUAUACUCAACACCCCCCGCAGUCGAAGCGUUGCUCGAGACACAAAGACUGGACCGGAACUCCUCAAAAACAGGAGUAGGCAAUCCCUUAGUCAUCACAUCAGCAAACUGCUGCGUCGUCGGCACGUGAAGAACCCGAACAUGGCCAAGGGCAACCUGCUCGUGCACGAAGUGAAUAUCGAGCUCAAUAUGCUUCGUCCAUCGAUGGUGCACCGGGUUGGCGGAGAGGCAGACCGCGUUGACAUUAUCGCAGUAGACAAGAGUGGCCUUGUGAACAUCACAGAGCAACUCCUGGAGCAGCUGACGUAUCCAAGAGCACUCGGCCACGACAUUAGCCACGGCGCGAUACUCUGCCUCGGUGCUGGAGCGGGAGACCGUGGGCUGCCGCUUUGAUGACCAAGAGAUCAAUGAGGGCCCAAGGUAGACGCAGUAGCCUAACGUAGAAUGUCGCGUGUCGGGGCAGCCAGCCCAGUCAGCAUCCGAGUAGGCCACGAGGUCUGUGGAGGCGGAGGCCGUCAGGGUGAGUCCCAAGGACAUGGUGCCGCGUAUGUAACGGAGAAUAUGCUUCACGAGAGUCCAGUGAGAGUCACGCGGGGCGUGCAUAUAAAGGCACACCUGCUGAACAACGUACUGCAAGUCGGGGCGAGUCAGCAUCAAGUACUGUAAAACACCGACAAUAGAGCGAUAAAACGCUCCAUCGGACGCGGGAGACACCUCCAAAGCAGAUACCUUCGCCUUCGUGUCGACGAGGGUGGGUGCCGGCUUGCAAUUAAGCAUACCGGCAUGCUCAAGAAGCUCGUGGGCGUACUUCUGCUAAUGCAGAAAGAAACCGUCAGCCCGGCGGAUCACCUCGAUGCCGAGAAAGUAGUGCAGGGGCCCCAAGUCCUUGAGGGUGAACUCAUCACGAAGAAGAGCAGUCAGCCGCUGAAGGAGAUCAGGGACGGACGCCAUGAGGAUGAUGUCGUCAACGUAGAGCAGCAGACAUGCAGUGUCAGCUCCUUGAUGAUGCACAAAAAGUGAGGCAUCGGAGCGAGUGGACUGAAAGCCUAGAGACUGCAGGAAGGCUGCGAUACGCUGGUACCAAGCCCGAGGUGCCUGCUUCAACCCGUAAAGAGAGCGGGAAAGCAAGCACACGAAGUCGGGGUGCUCGGUGUCGACGAAACCAGUAGGCUGCUCACAGAACACCUGCUCGGCAAGACGACCGUGCAAGAAGGCGUUGGAAAUCCAACUGAUGCACAUGCCAGGCGCGCGAGACGGCCAGCUGAAGGACGGCACGGAUCGUGCCCAGUUUCACAACCGGGGCGAAGGUGUCGGUGAAGUCCACGCCCCCGCGCUGCCGAAAACCACGAACCACCCAUCGAGCCUUGUAGCGCUUGAGAGAACCGUCCGGGCAAGUCUUGUGGCGAAACACCCACUUGCUAGAGAUGAUGUUGGCACGGAGGGGUCGCGGAACAAGCUGCCACGUGCGGUUGCGCUGAAGGGCGUCGAACUCCUCCUGCAUCGUAGCCAGCCAAUGGGGAUCUCGAGGGGCGGCACGAGCGGAGGUGGGGAUGGGUGAUGGCGUCGAUGUCGAGGCAGCGCACGCAUACUCGUCGGAGGAGUAGCGCAUGCUUGGCCGAUGCACGCCUGCACGGGCACGGGUGACUGGGCUGGCGAGGGUGGCGGGUGCCGCGGCAGCGGGGGCCACCGUGGCGGCGGGGGUCACGGCCACAACAGGGGCGCCUGCGGCGGCAGGGACGGGGCCCACGGCAGCGGGGGCCGCGGUGUCACGGGAUGCGACGGCGCCAACCGAGCCAUCCAUGGAGGAGGCGACGAGCGAGGUCGAGGUCGAGCCCGUCACAGGAGUAGCGACGCCGGGGGUGGCGGGUGUGGUGCCCGCUGGCUCAACCUCGGGCGAGGGAUCCGGGUUCCCGGGGACGCGGUUGGACUCAACCUCAGGUGAGGGAGUCGAGAACCCGGGAGGGGGCGGGAGAAGGCGCCGGGCCGGGGGAGCCGCCGGGGGGUGCCGCCGCGCAUCGCCCCAAGUAGGGGGCCGGGGGAGCCGCGGCCGGAGGAAUCUGAAAAAGGGAACACCGUCUGGACGAAGUACACGUGCCUCGAGGUGUACACACGAUGAGUGACAGGAUCAUAGCACCGGUAACCUUUGGUGUUGGGAGGGUAGCCAAGAAAGAUGCAUGGGACGGAACGGGGUGCAAGCUUGUGUGGCGUGGUGGACGCGGUGCUAGGAUAACAGAGACACCCAAAUAUGCGAAGACCAUCAUAGGACGGUGGUGUACCGAAAAGAAGGUGGUGAGGGGCGUAGUUCCACCGGGUACGACACGGACGAAUGUUGACUAAGAGAGAGGCGGUGGCGAGAGCAUCGGGCAGAAGUGAGCGGGCAUGUUAGCGUGAAAGAGCAACGUGCAAACGCAGUCAUUAAAAGUGCGGAGAAUGCGCUCGGCACGGCCGUUCUGCUGGGAAGUGUAGGGGCAAGUUAGAUGGAAGGUGGUGCUGUGAGAGGCGAGAAGUGAGCGAAGAGGGACGUUAUCAAACUCUUUUUCGUUAUCAGUUUGGAGUGCAAGUAUGGGGUGACCGAACUGAAUGAUGACAUAGGAAUAAAAGGUGGUGAGUGUGGCUAAAGCAUCGGAUUUACGACGAAGAGGAAAAGUCCACACAUAAUGAGAAUAAUCAUCUAAAAUCACCAAAUAGUAUAGAUAGCCCGUGUUACUCACAACGGGAGACGUCCAAACAUCACUAUGAAUCAACUGAAAUGGAAAAGUGCACACUGAAGUAGAUGCACUAAAGGGAAGACGCACGUGCUUGCCCAAACGACAAGCCUCACAAGUAUGCUCGUCGAGCUUAUUACAUGAGAAAGAAAAACUCCUAAGAAUCUGACGCAAAACGGCCGGGUUGGGGUGGCCCAAGCGAGCAUGCCAAAGGUCGACGCCAGCGGAGAGAGCGACGGGUGUGGAAGUGGAGGCGCCGGCGUGCACAGGAUAGAGCCCGUCAGGGCUAUCACAUCGGUGAAGCACCAUCCGGGUACAAGCGUCCUUCACAGAAAAGCCAACACCGCCAAAUUCAAUAGUAAGAGGAUUCUCGCGAGUAACACGACGAACAGAGACUAAGCUAGUGACUAAGUCAGGUGAAACAAGAACGUUAGACAUAGUGAUAGGUGUGGAACUAGAAGGAAAACUAGUGCUACUGACAAGGGUGAUGGGUAAAGAGGAACCGUUACCAACAGUGAUGCGAGUGGGAGUGUGAACAGGAGUGGAGGAGGAAAGGUUACCAGGAUGAGCUGUCAUGUGCGCAGUAGCACCCGAGUCCAUGUACCAGUCGCCUCCACCGCCAUAGGUGCUCGGCGAUGGCGCCGAGUGUAGGGCGGCCAGGAGGGUGGGGUCUCAUGGUGCAGGUGCCGGCGGUGGUAGCUGACCUCCAUAGGGCGGCGCCUGGGCGGGUGCGCCAUAGCCACCGAGGGGUGGCGGCGCGAACGGGGCACCGUAGGGCUGGUAAGUGGCACCGACGAACGCCUGGUGGCCCGCGGAACGAGGGCCAUGGAGACCCGGUGCAGGAGCCCGCGGGACGGUCAUAUGAUAGGCGUGGACGACGCCCGUACACGGGUUCUGCCCGGCGGCCCACGGCGGGGGCGCCCCCCUGUACCUGGCGCAUGCUGCUGCUGCGGCUGCUGCUGACGGCGGCCUCCGCCAACCCGCCGGUUGCACCGGCCCCCGCCACCUUGAGGCUGCUGGGAAGGCGUGGGGGGCGCGGCGGCGGCGGGUGGCGCGGGCGGGCGGAGGAGCGGGGCCGCCGCGGGUGGUGCCAGCGGUGAGGUGCUGGACCCGCUGCUUGAGCUUCAUCAUCCGGCGCUCCUCAAGUUUGAGGUAUGCGACAACGCGCUGGAAGAUGGGUUGCGGCAGCAGGGUGAGGUUGGACGCCACAUUGCCGAAGUCCUCAUUGAGACCGGCGGUGAGGGUGCUCAGCAUGAGGUCGUCAGAGACCUUAGCGCUGAUGUCGUGAAGCUCGUUGGCGAGCAUCUUGAGCCUCAUGCAGUACUCGUCGAUGGUGGAGUUGUCCUGGUAACAGCCGAAGAACUCCUGCUGCAAGAAAACAAGGCGCCGAAGUUUGUUGUCGGUGAAGAGUGCGUUGAUCUUGCCCCCACACGGUGCAGGCGUCGUCGUCCUCGACGAUGAUAGUGUGGAAGAUGUCCUCCGAGACCGUCUGGUGUAAAACCAACGGAUGAUCGUAGCCACGAUGGCGGACCACUCCGGGUUGUCGCGCAUGUACGCACUGUCCACGGAACCGGCGAUGUGCUCGGUGAGAUAGUACUUGCGGAAGACGAGGUUGAAGUAGGUCUUUCAAGCGUAGUACGACGAGCUGGAGCUGUUGAGACGGAUAGGGACCCGGGCAUCAAUAUUGAGGUCACGGAUGGCGGCGGCGGAGGGCUCGGGGCCAGCGAAGGGAUUGGACGAGUGAAUCGUGGAGGAGCCGGGAGAAAAGGGCCACGACAUGGCGGCGACUUGCGGGUGCGAAGGGACGGCUAGGGUUAGGGUUUUGUGGAGUAGAGAGGAGGCGGCAGCAGGACAACGAUGCAGGGAAGCAGCAGUCGGGCAGGACGACUUGCGGGCGGUUCGGCUGGGACCUGGGAAGCGAAGGGCGGCUCGGCUGGCGUGGAGCUAGGCGCGCAGUAGGAAAGCGAGCGACAGGGAGACACGCGCGCGGGGUGGCGUGGUUGGCGUGGAGCGAGGCGCGCGACAGGAGAGCGAGCAGCAGGGAGGCACGCGCGCGACUUGGCGGGCGGCUGGAUCGAUGGGGCGCGCGACUUGGCGGGUGGUGGGAUCGACCGGGAAACAAGCGGAAGCAAGCACAGCGGCGGCGGCGCGGGAAAGGAGAGAGAGGGGCGCGGCGGCGGCGGCGCGUGGAGGCGCGGCGGCGGCGGCGGCUGACCCUAGGAUUAGACCGGAGAGGAUAAUACCAUACAGAGAGAUAAUUUGCAAUACGUAUAUAUAUUACAAGAGAAGGCCUCUAUCUCAAUUAUACAAAACUAGAAGGUGGACCAUAACUUUAAUACACGUACGAUACAAAAUAUAUACUCAACAUAUUGUUUCGAAGGUUGUGAUAUUUCUCUGUGUCUAAUUACUUUUUUACAAGAACAUUGCAAACGCACACAAAAUUCUUGCAAGCGGAAGCUUUUGCUACAAUGCUUGUACAACCGGAGUUUGGUUUUAAGUGGGAUCUAACGACUCACUGGUAGUCGAUCUGGUGUUUUGAUCGCCAGACGAUUCUCCUAAUUGCGAGGCGCUCUUGGCGAAAGAGUUUUGCCAGUUGCUUGUAUGCAGGAAGACGGCUAGCUCUGGAUCUAACAAGAUGAUUACUUUUCUGGAUGUGGAUAAGGUUACUAAGGCAAUAACAAGAAUGUGACGAACGCUCUUUGAAACAAAGACAAGAAGGGUGACAUCAUAGAAAGGCGUUCACGGCUGUUUAAUAGAUAAUACUCGGUCUUUUGAACCGUCCCUAUAUGUUAAGUAUAAUGUUUAUUAAGAAAGAUGAGACAGACUAGAUUUUGUUCUGGUUUAUUUUGUACUUCAAAUAAAUGAUAGUACUUUUAUAUAUAUGUCUAUGAGGUUCAAGCAAUACAAUAAUUAUUCCAUCAAUCCCUCUUUUCUUUCUAAUAUGAUAUCUAUUACAAGUCAAUCUUAAACUCUAGCCGCCGCUGCUUCCGCACUUGCGCGCCGCCCUCGGGGUGGUCGGCCUCCAUAACCGCCGCCGGGGCCGCGCCGCCCGUACCUAGGGUUCGUCUGCCGGCCGUGUUGACUGGUUACCCUAGAGAGUCUUUUUUCCUGAUCCUUUGAUCCGGAUUUUCUCUCUCUCGCCGGUCGCUUUGAUCGGCAUCUCCUUUUUGGUUUUCCGGUCUAUGUGAUCUGGUUUGUGUCGCCCACCACCGUCGUUGACCCCGUGCGCCUCUACUUCAACACCGGCGUAAUCAAUCUGCUUCUUCACCAACCCAACGGCCUCGCGUGUCGUCCGCGCGUCUGCCCGUCAGUCGCCCCGACCCGGCGGCCUCGCGUCAUUGCGGUGGCCCUUCACCGCCGCCGUUCGUGCAACGGCCCGCCCGUCGAUCUACGUCGGCUGUCACCGCCCUGCUCCGACCGGGACUCCUACAUCACCCUGACCCGACGGCCUCGCGCCAUGCUGCGGCCAAUCAUAGCCGCCCUGCCGCCCGCCGCCGCCGGCUUCAUCUUGGACUCCGCCAUCACCGCGCCUCCACCGAGCGGCGUCGCCGACCUAGCGUGCGAUCGGAUUGAUCACCCGCCCGCCGCCGCGAUCCGCCUCAUCUACACCGUGCAACCGACCUGGCCCGUCGGUUGCGCGCGCCUCCGCAGGCCCCAUGAAAACCGUCCAGAGUUCAGCGCGCCCCUCUACCGAUCGAGCAAUGGGCUGCUGCUACGUCGCCCCGUCGGGCCGCCGUGCCGCCGCCCCAUGAUUCUUCUCCCAGCUGCGCUGACCCGCGUCACCGCUGCGUCGCCCCUUCGGGCCGUAGUACCGCGGCCCGCGGUCCACUGCCGCCCAGAGGUCGUCCGCUCCAGUUCGUCCCCGUGGCAGCACCGACCUCGCGCCGUCACUGCGUCGCCCCGUCGGGCCGUAGCGAGCGUGGCACGCGUUCCAGGCCACCGUCCAGAAGCCGUCCCCGCGGUUGCACCGACCCGCGCUCCUCCGACGCGCCGCCUCUUCGGGCCGUCGCGCCGCGGCCCGCGGUCCCUGCCGUCGCCCUGAGGUCUUCCCGCCGUCACCCCGACCUGCCCGCCGCCGCUGUGUCGCCCCUUCGGGCUGUAGCGCGGCGGCCCACGGUCCACUUCGUCGUCCACGCACGUUGACUUUCCGUGGUAUGCGUCGCGCCGCCCCCAUUGGCGCGGAAACGCCACCGUCCACGCCGGACUUCGUCAUGCUGUCGGGUUCUUAGCCUACUUCGAACACCGCCGCCGCGCUCCUAACCUAGCCGCCGCCGUCGCCGUCAGGCCGCCGCCGCCGCUCUUCUUUGGCCACCGCCGCCGCUAUCCACGUAGCCGCCGCCCGUCCACCUCCUUCGUCUUCGUCUAGCACCGGCCCGUCGCCAGCGUCGCCGUCAUCUACCCCGACCACUUCGUCUACUCCGACAACCCCACGCGACAUUGGCCCCGCGCUGAUGGACGCCGCAACCAUCGUUGAGUCCUUCUCUGCUGGCCUCUCCGACUCCUCCGACAUGGCGUACAGCUUAUGCAGGUCUUCGUCUAUGCAUGCCCGAUGCUGGCAACACCGAUGCGUGCCUUCGUCCAUGACGUGUCCCCGGGCCUGGCAAGCCUGGUGCGGCGCUUCGUCAACUUCGUCUUCGUCCGUCUACGCAUGUCCGGUGCUGGCAACACCGGUGCGUGCGUUCGUCUACGAUGUGCCCCCGGGUUUGGCAAACCCGCCGCGACGCGUCGUCAACAACAUCUUCUUCCGGCGCACCACUACUUCGACACCAAUGCGCCCAUGCUAACUCGGCGCCUCCUUGCGCCCGCGGCUCCACGACGACAUCCUCGACACCGGCUCCCCGACUCGACAUCGACCACGACAUUCUUCGUGCGGCUACCUCGACCACGGCUACACCACCCUUGGCUCUCGGCUCCAUCGACAAACGACACAAAGGGUUACCGCCUUGCUUGAGCAACCUCGUCGGCUUUCACUCCAGCCACGACUCCGCGAUGCGUCGACCGUUACGACUGUGGGGGGGGGGGGGUAUCCGUCGGCUUGCCUUCGGAUUCUUCUCUAGUCUCACCGCCUGCGUCGCUACUAUUGUGACUGCGGGGGAUGUUAAGUAUAAUUGGAAAGACGAGAUAGACUAGGAUUUGUUUUGUCUUGUCUUGUACUCCAAGUAGAUGAUUGUACUUCUAUAUAUAUGCCCACGAGACUCAAGCAAUACAAUAAUUACUCCACCAAUCUCUCUUUCCCUUCUAACACUAUAGUUUGACUUGCCUCAGUUGAUUUGUUGGUCUUUGUUGUCUUGGUCAAGGUGCUUUCAUUGAGGAUUUGCUUGCAACGUAGAAGUGUGUGGGAUUGUGGAUGUUGCAUGUCACAUGUGUUUGCCGGCUGAUCGUGCGGUCACGAGGUUUUAUUUUUUUUAGAGUAGUUCGCAUGUGGUCGGAUUGUAUCAGUUUUCGACUGAUUUCCUGUUUAUUAUCUGGUCAACUAUCUUAUUUAAUUAAUCGAUGAGGUAAAGCUUGCGCCUUUGCUUUUUUUUCUUAAAAGGAACAGGAGAACUAGAGGAAGAAACCUAUGGCAAAUUUUGAAAUUAGUAUGCUCUAGGGAGAAAGUGACCGCUAGCCUGCUAGCUAGCGGGUUGGCGCCAGAGAGCCGCCCCUCAUUUCCUUAUGCAUUUUUAGUUUGUCCUUUGGCCAGAUCGCUUUUGCUAACAGCAGUGGAUCUUGCGCACACGCAUCUCAGACAACCCCAUUGACACUGUUUGACCUGCUUUCCCCAUCGAUCUCGUCUUCUCUUCUUCUCCGCGUGAAAGACCACUUCAGUUUGACAGCAACAUGCAACCUUUCCCGCUCAAAAUCAGUCUGCACAUGAUGCUUCCCUUGAUUAUGGUUACUAUGGAGUUUGAAGCAAACGAGCCUACCCGAGUGAUGUGCACACGGCACUGUAUGCCGUGGUUUUAUGAGGCCUGGUAUAAUGCUAGAUGCUUAUGGAUGUGCUUAGAAAAAUAAACUGAAUUAAAAAAAUUAUUUUUCCAGGCACCUCUUCUAAGCACUUGCAUUGUACAAGACCUGAGUGUACGAUGCACUAUUCUUUGUCCCAUUGGACGGCCUUUUUGCUGUGACACUUUGCGAGCUGGCAGUGGCAGCAAUAAGAAGAUCUCUACGCUAAUGACGCACGAGGUUGGCAUAAUAAGAUGCGGAAGCAAAUAAAGGUGACAUCAUGCACGCCGGCUGCACUCGAUCUCCAUCGGUUGCGCUUGGCCCUCUUGACCGUGUUUACUUCACUCAACCGACAGCUAAGAGCAUCUCCAACAGGCGCUGCACGCAAAAAACUGAUUUGGCGCGUGUCCUUCGUCUGGUUUGACGCGGCGCGCAGCGCUGGCUUCAGCGGCCGCGUUAAAAUGCAGCGCGCAAAAAUGCAGCGCACGCGACUCGCCAAUGCAUUGCAUAUUGCAUUUUAAACACAAAAUUUGAUAAAACAUUCAAAAUGCAAUGAACAUGACAUAUAAAAUUUCACACAAGUGAUUUCCCUAGCAGCUAGAAUCAGGCCCCGACCCCCGCGUCGCUCCUGGGCGGCUCGGGGGAACUCCAGUCGUCGGCCGGCGGCGCCCCCCUUCCCCACCCCUUCUCUCCCUUGCCGCUGCCGGAGGAUGCGGCCGGGCUAAGCCCGCGCCGUGGACGGCGGCGGCGGGGCGUUCCCCGCGCGAAGGCGCGCAUCUCUGGUGGAGGAAGGUCGCUCCCUCGUCCUGCUCGGCGGCCCGGCGGUGCGGCGCUCCGGUGGCCAGGACCGCAGAUCUGGAGGGUGGCUCCUCCGGUGGUCCCCUGGUUCCGGUUGCUGCUCGCGGGAUGGCGCCUCCGGCUCCCUGCGCUUUGAGGCGGCGACUCUGCUUUGCUUCUCAGAUCCGGCCAUGGUUGGGUUGGGGUGGCGGCCCUCCCACCUCUGCUCGCAGGCGACUACCUGCAGGUUUGCUGGCCGGGAGUUGUGCGCCUCUUGCGGCUGCCCUGCGGAGGAGGGUUGCUGGGUCUGGCAGGCGGCCAGAUCUGGGUGGCAGGGUUUCGGUCGAGGUCGUCUUCGAUCUAGAUCGGGAUCUCCAUCGGGGGCGUCGCACGGCGGUGGGAUCGGAUCGGCGGCAACGUCACCGGUUCGACGGAGGGCUCCGUGAUCGGGACGUCGUGGCUUCCGGUGAAAAUCGCGUCUGACUGCGGUCAUGGCGGACGAUGGCGGCGUCUCGAACGUCGUUCCCUUCUCGAGGCAUCGUCGUUGCAGGUCACGUCAACCUGAUCGAAAGGUUCCGGGGGAAACCCUAGAUCUGGAUCUACCAGAUCGGACGAUGGCGACGUUUCAAUGUCGUUCUCCCUCCUGGGGGCAUCAUUUUGGAGCAAGUGUUGACUGGAGGGGACAAGAGGAGGAGCGGCGUGGAAUAUGGCACGUCGACAACGGCGGGUCUCAGCGGCAUGGAGCAGCGGAGGUCUCGCCGGUGGGCGUGUGAUGAUGGACGAGCGCAGGAUGGUGGCGCUGUCUGGCGUCGUGGUGGCGUCGAUGGCAGAGAGGCCUGGCACGGUUCAUGCAACAGUACAGCUCUGAAGAUGGAUUGAUGGUACGUGGCUGCGGCGGCCUCAUACCCGGCAGGGGGCCUGGUUGAAGAGCACGCCGGACUAGUGGAUGCCCAUACCCGGAAGGAGUCCUGGUUGGGACCUCAGGUCUCAGAUGUUAGGUUUGGCUGCGAGGUCUGUUUAGUAUUAGGCCCAGACCAUCAGCGCCCCUUCAUCAGUUAGAUAGGAGUAGCGACAGAGGUUGCGAAGAUGGUGGCUUUGGUCUUACUGUUGUAUGACUUUGUAAGGUCUUGUGUUAUAAUCAAUAAAGUGGCCGUAUGCAUCGUCCAGAUGCAGAGGCCGGGGGUAUUCCUCCUUUUCUAAAAAAAUAAAAUUUCACACAAACAAGUUGAUGAAGAAAAUUUCAUGCCCACAAGUUCAUCCAACCAAGUUCAAAAUGUAAAUCAAGUUCAAUACACAAAUGAAAAACACAUCAUUCCUCGUCCUUGUCUUCGUCCUCAUCCUCAUCUUCGGAAGACGAUUCUUCCGCCUCCGAAGAUGAAUCUUCAUCAUCGCGCACCGCAUCACGUGAAGCUCUGACGAUGUUGGCAAGAUCUUCAACGGCAUCUUUUAUGGGAAUGUGUGCGAGGAGGCACAUCGAAAGACAUUCCGCCCAUGACGGCCGGAGGUGCACCCAUGCCUCCCAUGAGAGAAGCAAAACUCAUGCAUCUCAUGGUNNNNNNNNNNNNNNNNNNNNNNNNNNNNNNNNNNNNNNNNNNNNNNNNNNNNNNNNNNNNNNNNNNNNNNNNNNNNNNNNNNNNNNNNNNNNNNNNNNNNNNNNNNNNNNNNNNNNNNNNNNNNNNNNNNNNNNNNNNNNNNNNNNNNNNNNNNNNNNNNNNNNNNNNNNNNNNNNNNNNNNNNNNNNNNNNNNNNNNNNNNNNNNNNNNNNNNNNNNNNNNNNNNNNNNNNNNNNNNNNNNNNNNNNNNNNNNNNNNNNNNNNNNNNNNNNNNNNNNNNNNNNNNNNNNNNNNNNNNNNNNNNNNNNNNNNNNNNNNNNNNNNNNNNNNUCUACUAUAGACAUUCCGCCGCCGAUGUCUUGCCUUUCUUUCGCCGCGCCGCAUUGGGUAGCUUUGAGGAGGAGGGCGGCGGCUCGGGCCGGCGUCGGCGCGACGCCACCCGCUGCCGAGGUCAUCCGCGGCGGCAUGAAGAGGCCGCGCGCGAGGCCGAUGGUCGGAGGAGCUCUGGCGGAGGCGAGGCCAACGCCACCCGGGCUAGGGUUUGCGGCGGCGGCGGUCGCGGCUAUAGGACAGGGUGAGCGGGGUGCCGGCGCGUGCGUCCAUGGCGUGUGGGUCGCCGGCGCCGGCGCACGCGGGGCUUUGGAGGGGAAAAAGACAGAGCGCAGCGCGAGCGCUCGACUAUGCCGUGCGCGGAAGCGGGCGCCGUAAAUACACCGCGCGAGGUAGCGCUUCCUGCCGCGCGUUCAACUCCUUAUACCGCGCGCGCGGUUAUUACGCGCCGGCUGAAGCCACCCGCCGAGUUACGCACGCGCUGAACUAAGUAUAUUUAUGACGCGGCGCCUGUUUAGCGCGUCUGUUGGAGAUGCUCUAACUAAGUUGUGAUCGUCCGCAACCCCUGCCCAUCGGUAUACACUGCAGAGGCAGAGCCCACCUGCUACCCUGCAGUCACACCACUUCCCAUGUUAAUGUGGCAUUCUUUAACAACGUGUGGUUACCUCCACCUCACUCCAGCUAAUUGCACGCACGAGCUGCAUCUCGGCGCGCAGUAGAGUAAUGUUUUCGGCCCCAUGGGACCGAGACUCUACAGUUUUAGGAGGUGUAAAAGUAUCUCAACUCUGUGCACCAGCUUACUUUUAUAGUUGGCAGCGCCAGCCGCUCGGUUGCUUUGAAUGGAUUCUCAUGUUCUGCUCGCAUAACCAUAACAGGCUCUUCCCAAUUUCUUGGGGCACAGCGAUCCCGACCGGCACCGUGCCUCGCUCAUCACCAACUAAAGCAUCUGUGCAUAAUACUGUAAAACUCCCACUUAAUUAGCUGGUGCUUAAACUUUUUUACCUUUUUUAGAAGAAAAAAAGUUUAUUUUACUGCCCUGAACAAACCUCGUAGUUCACAUAACACCCUGAUCUUUAUUUCAGUUCCCUUAACCCCUUCAACAAUCUUAUACCGGUCAAAAACCGUCCCUGAGUGGUUUUGCCCUGAUUAAGUGCUGAUGUGGACAAAGUCAAAAGCAGUAUUUGACCAGCAGAUGGGGCCCCCUCCUCAACUUCGUGCCCUGAUGAAGAGCGUAGUCGGCGCUCAGUUCACGCCGACGGCACUGUCGUUCGUCGCCCGCAUGGCCAAUGCCUCCUCCUCCACUUGCUACUCUGUCCGAGGGCUUCACCUCGCUCCGCUAUACACCACAAGAAAAGGAACUUGUCUGAGUCACCGUGAAUCGCCGUCAGCAUGUCUUCUUCCCUGCCUCCGACCUCUACAGCCUCGAUCUCUUCCUCCGGCGACCCCCGCUUCCCUUUCUCUACUUCCCGAGCACCAUGGUGCUCCCUGAAGGUGACAGGCUCCUCCAUUUGGAGUCGUGCGUCCCGAGGACCUCUCCCGGCGUGGCCAAACUCUGGUGCCCGUUGUAGUUCUUCGUCAGGGUGGCCAACACGUCUUCCUCACCGUGAAGCCUUGUCCUAGAGCCUCGACUUGCUCUGCUAUACAUUCCUGCUAAAGGAAUUUGUCCAGGCUGCUGUGAAUCGUCGUGGCCCAUGUCUUCUUCCCCAACUCCGUUAUCAGCCGCCGCCCCCUCGAUCUCUUACUAAAGUGAACCCCCCAUCUCCUUCCCUGCUUACCAAGCACCAUGGUGCUCCCCUGAAGCACGCGAGACCACAACCGUCCUCGGAGCAAGGCUUUGCGAGCCGUGGCAUCGCCAUCGACCUCACGAGCCCACGGUUGUCCUCCGUCCAUGGAAGAUGCAGCGCUGCUGCUGUCACUUGCCGACCGUGCGCUCAUGUGCGUUGUGGAAAUCUGAAUGAGCCCCGUGUGGUCAACAACGACGGGGAGGCCACCGUUCACUGGCAUGUGUCGCCGCUGCAACGCCUCCGCCUCCGCCUCCGCCUCCUUUGUUCUCAGGAGCAAGGUGGCGAGAAGAUUCGGGACUGCUCCAGCAGGUGGGCACGACGGCAGCAACGGGCUGGCAAGGUUGAGUGGCGGCGGGGCCGAGCUUGGGCAGGGGAGCGCCGGCGACGGCGCGGCGGCGGGAGCGACGCCCUGGUGAUAGGUUUGCUUGACAAGGGGUCCAUUGGUCAAAUACCACUUUGACCUUGUCCACAUCAGCAAACCACCUAAGCAAACCCACUUAAGACCAUUUUUGAACUGUAUUGGAUAGAUAGGGGGUUAAAAAAGCAGAAAAAAUGAUCAGGGGGUUAUGUGAACCAUCAAAUUUAUUCAAGGUAGUAAAAUGGACUUUUUUUUUCUUUUAGAACUUAUCCAGACGAGCAUGGUUAAUACUAUAGCUAACCGAUGGUUGUCUCGUCAUGUAGAGUCAUUAUUUAUAGUCGCUCGUAUAAUGGGGAUAGCUAACAACACUAAUUAGGCUGACACGGAGGAAACCUAACAGCCUCCCUCCCUCUCCCCUACAACCGCCACCUCCCACCUCCCCGCUGCUAGGGAUUAGUAGUCAGGCCAAGUCUCGACACCGGUCAAUGAUAGAGACGGCUGGUAGAUCUUUGCUUCGAUAGCCUUCGACGGUGGGAUGCGGUCUACGGGUGAUGACUUGAGACAGAGGGUAUAAUUGUGCAGGAGAUGUUCCAGGCUGGACCGAGGGUUUCUGGUGGCGAGACGUCUAUGGCAGCGAUCCCAUCUGCAGGUAAGUAGAUGACAAGAUGCUUCCCUGACAAUGACGUCAGAAAAUGUGGUCGAUGCUCUUUGAGAUCCGGUUUGAAUAGCAGAAAGUUCCUAUACCUUUUACCAAUGGAGCGAUCCUAGGUAUCAAAACCACGAGAGGAUGUGCAUUAGGAUAAAAGUCAAACAAGCUAUUGCUCUCGAAUUAAAUUCCAGCUUUUUAACUGGGCCUUUAACAACCUUUUUGGAAGCAAACAACAAUAUUGAAAUAGGCAUGUGUAGGUCUUACGCUCACAACCUUAUACUUGUGCUUGGGAACUCAUCUUGCUAAUAAACAUGGCCCUAGAAGACAACCUUUACAAUGUGGUCACAACGCGGUGAAGUGGGGGAUAUGUUCAAAGUACGUCACGACCAGUCAGGACCUGCAUCGAGAGGCGGUUGUCCAACUAAUGUCCUUACCAUCACCCGGGGUUACCUCGGUUAUUAAGAAUUACUUCGGACAAAAGCAUUCGACAUUUAAUGACCACACCUCAUUUAUUCUCAAGGAAUUGGUUUCGCUAUCGUACUAAUCGUUUCUCUCACUGUUGUUCAGAAUAGCGUUUCACGCAUCUUGCUUCUUAUCUCCUCCUUGAUUGAUUUAUGGGAUACUAGGUACCCACAAAGCCUUAGAACGAGAAGAAGACAAAAGACAACUCCAUUGCAAUCACACACGUACAAAUAAUACGCAAAGUGAUUCCAACAAUCGCGUGCACAAAUACAUAGUGUUGCAAGGCCUUGCAUCAACCAUUGCCUUAGCGAAUUCUUCACACAUGGCGAUCAAAUCACAAAAUGAACUCAUUAAAGAUACUAUUAAGAUGAAUGAUUGAUUGAUUGAUAAUAUGUCUUACAAUAGUCUUGAUUGCGAUGCAUCGAUUGCAAGUAUGACUAACUUGGAGAGAAUGGUUGCGGUGAUGAAGGUGGUAGCGGCUAUGGAGAUGAGACGAGAAAUGACGGCAGCUAAGGUUGGAAGAUGGCUUCUAGUUCUGUGUUCCGCAAAUGGUUGCUCUCCUAUUGAGCUUCUGACAUGGCUCCCUUUGUAAAAGUUGUUUAGGUGAACGCCCUGGUGUCAAUGGUGUGCGAUAUAACCACUGGUAUUAGCGCAUGCGCUUGUACCAUGUGUCGUCUUGCGCUCUGGAUUGAUCCUGGCACCUCCUGUUGACAUGCCUUGUUCACGACACUUUCUAUUUUCUUCUAUGUGACGACAUUCUUCCAUGUUUAGGCCCAUUUCUUGUGGAAACACAUUAAGCAAAGAAUUUCGUAAUUUCCUGCAUUCAUUAGUCAUUAGUAUCGAUAUCUGAGUGAUUCUCUCAAAAAUUCCAGAAUUAUCUGGUUAAAAAUGGCUGAAUAAGCGCAAAAGUAACGCUCAUCACACCACAGUUUGUAACCAUGUUGGAGGUUGAUUUAUCGAUUGCUAAGAUGCAUCUUGUAGUGUCACGUGUACUCGGAUCGUCAAAGUCUCCUCCACAAGAAAUAGAUCUCGUGCUCUCAUUGAAAGAUCGGGACAUCCUAGUGUAUGUCGCCCAACAAUACUCGACAAUAUAACAAAUUUUGUAGUAGACAUUAUUGACGCCGCCACAUCAAGGACGACGCAACUAACCUUGAGUCCGAUGCAAAAGCAUGUGCAAGCGAGGCGGUGCUAGUGGCCGAUAGCUAUCUCGCCGCCUUGGUGACGGGUCCUCUUAUUUGGAUUUGCUACCGGAACAAUUAGGCAUGCCGUCUCCCCCCCCCCUCAGUUUCGUCCUCGACACCAAAUAUUGCCUUCCUUGUAUUGCUUCACAUGAUUCAGUGUUUCGCAUUGCCUCCUACCGAUUAGGGUGAUUCACGCCUCUCAGCCCGACUUUGCACACCAUGUUAAUAAGCGAAACUUGGAGCCAACUUCACUGUCGUGUUUCCAACGAGUGUUCCUUGUGUUGGUAUGUGCCCACUCAGAUUCAUGUCAUUGGUACCGGUGCUCGUAUUUUUCUGAAUUUAUAUUAGAAUUUUGUAAUGUUAUUCCUUUAUUGGUACGUGACGUGCUCAUUAAUAAUAUGGUACGUAGUAUAUGACUUCAUCAAUUUCGAGAUUUGCCAUCUUUCUUUGGAAAUGAUUACAAGCAUGUCUUGUGGAGCUUGUCAAUCUUCGCCCUAUGGGAUUGUGGAGUUCCAACUUUUUUCAUAAGGAACGGUUUAUUACUCAAAAGGUUUAAGCAUUCAUCCAGACUCUGCAUAACUAUGAUGCACACAACCAAACAAUGUCCUCUUACAAAAAAACAUGCGAACUACAAAGAAACAUGUAGGUCACUAGUAGAAAAACGAUUUUUAGUACCGGUGCGUAAGGACCUUUAGUACCGGUUCUGGAACCGGCACUAAAGAGUGGGGACUAAAGCCCCCCCUUUAGUCCCGGUUCAACACGAACCAGGACCAAAGACCCACCACGUGGCACGAGGAGCGCUGUGGUCUGGGGGAUCUUUAGUCCCGGUUGGUAAGGAUUUUUUAUUUUUAUUUUUGAAAUAAAGCAAAAACAGCCCACCUACUGGGCCGGCACGGCCUACAUACGACUAGAAACCCAAUCUCUAGUUGAGGCAGGAUGCAGACCCGUACGGCCCAGUAGGCCUCAUAGGGUAGAAGACUUGCAAUAGGCCCACAAAGGCCUACUUAGAGAGGAGCUCGACACGGUAGCCGCGGCCGGACUUAUAAACCGGUGCGAGCUCCUCUCAACUAGCGAGGUGGGACUAAACAUUAUGCACUGCAGGUGGCAGCGCAUCACCUUUAGUACCGGUUGGUAGCUCCAACCGGUACUAAAGGGGGGUAGUACCGGUUGGUGGCUCCAACCGGUACUAAAGACCCCCAUUUAGUACCGGUUGGAGUCACAAACCCGUACUAAAGGCCACCACCUCUUUAGUACCGGUUCGUGGCACGAACUAGUACUAAAGGUCCGCCACGAACUGGUACUAAUGAGCGCCGCCCGCCUAGCCGUUGGGACCGGUACUAAUGGUCACAUUAGUGCCGGUUUAAUUAAAAACCGGGACUAAUGAGUUUCACAUUAGACCCUUUUUCUACUAGUGAGUACGUAUAAUGCCUAAACCGGAAGGGGGCCAAUCCUAAGAUCAUGCUGUCACCCAUGUUUGUAAAAGUAUCCCUCGAUGUCGCCUCCAAUCAUGUACACACCUCCGUAAACAUGUCUUGAUUCUCCACAUGUUGCAGAGAGGGCCAUAAACGAAGAGUCCCGGUACAUAUGUAGAUAACUUGCAUAAGAGAAAUACUUUUAUCAUUAAAAAUCUUAUCAUUUCUAAAUAGUCAAAACGACCAAAUAACGACAAGCGCUUGUUGACACCAGAUUUUGACACGGCCAAGAAAUUAAUUAAGAUGGCCUCAAAUGAAGAAGUGCUCAAAGUGAGAAAAUUCUGUAUCGUCAAAAGAAGAAACUUUCAUAUUUGGGCCAUAGCCAUCCGGUCUCAUCUCUAAGGCCGAAGUUGUGUUUGAAGUACUCAGAUUUUAUAUUCAGAACACUAUUCAGCUGAUUACGCCCCUAAGAUGGCCUCAUAUGAAAACUGUUUCUACAUGAUUGUCUUCGUCUCGUCGAGACGAUUGAUUUCGAUAUAAAAAACGUCUAAAUCGGAGUUCGUAUGCAAAAGUUAGAGUCAAAACAGUGUGCUGCAUAAGUUUGCCCCGGAAGUUCCGGGCAAAACUUCCGGGCUAAACCGAAAGUUUGCACGCGGUGCGCCCCGAAAACUGGAAUUUUAACAUUGUUUGCAGAUUUGCGGGGCCGAUUUUAACAUCAAGAUGACCUCGAAUAAAAAAGUGAUCAACUGAAGAGUUUUUCUCCAUUGCAAGAUCUACAACUUUGCUUUUGGGACUAUCGUCAUCCGAAGUAGUAUGCGGCCUGCAGAUUCAGUGCAAGAGGGCUACUUGAUAUAAUUUCAGCCCGAAAGUUCCGGGCCAGACCAAAAGUUCCGGCCCUCGUAGUCCGAGUUAGGGUAACUUUUGAUGAUUUGGACGUGAUUUGAGUCAUUUUCUUGUACGGGAAGUCCAGCCGCCUCAUAUAUAUGUAAGGGGUGACGGCCGAUUGAACAACACACAAUCGAUCUAUCAAUAUAUCAUCUUUUUACCUUUACCUUUAUCUCUCUCCCUUGUUCUUCUUCUUCCUCGUUCUUCGUUCAUUCUUCGUUUGCAGGGCGGCGAACCUCGAGGCCCUAGGGGCGAUCAGGUUAACCUAGGGUAGCCCAUAGCCGCCGCAAGCCCUUACGGGUGUGGGGUUUCGGGUCCUCAAAAGCACCCGCCGAAUUGUUUGCGUACCGCGCUUCCGGACGGGUCUCCUUCGACGUGAGCUGCGGUGCAUCACCCUCGGCGUUGGAGGUACACGGUGACGUGUUCGUGUGCGAACACACUUUUUGGCGACUCCGCUGGGCACGAAGCUUUGAACGAUCUCCAGCCUGUUCUUGCUACGAAGAGAUCGUCAUCAAGUUGCUGCAAUCUACAAAGGUAAUAUGAAUACCCAAUUACCCUUUGUAGAUGCAAAUAAUCGAUAUGUUGUUGCUGGAUCACCUAAUGAGCAUAAUGUAUCGGCUAGCCCUAGCUUUAUCAAUCAUGCAUCAAAUUAUGUGCAAGGGCCGAUGCAACAAAAUCUCCAUGAUUCUACUUCAUAUAAGUUUAGCAACAUGCGGCAUAUGUAUCCCAACUCCCAUGCAUCGGCCACCCCACAAAUUUAUAUGCCGAUGAAUAACAUGAUGAGUUCGGUUAAUCAAGUUAAGGCACCCUAUGUAGGAACUUCCAAUGUUAUGCAACAAAGUGUUUCAAGUUUUUAUUCAUCGGCAAAUAACUUGCAGUAUGUUAAUCCAAACGUGCCGGUGGAUAGGGGAAUUGGUCAUGUUACUACUAGUUAUUUGGCCAAUUACCCUCAAACAUCAUAUGCUACACCUAGUGCUACUACUUUUUUGGCACCUUACGCAACUGUUGAUGUUCAUAAUUCGGCUCCGCACCUUCAUGGUCAUGGCCGAAUAAGUGAAACUUCUGCAGGAGCACAAAUGCCUUCACCUACUACCGUGGCAUAUCAUGUACCCCCUACACAAUUACAGAAUUUCGGCAACAUCUCAUUGCCGAAAGAGUCUAAAAGCAUCGGGGGGCAACCAUAUCCAGAUUGGGUGGUUGAGAACAAGCUUACAUUCUCUUAGGAUUUGUGCAACUCCAUUCGACAGGAACUAAUAGAAGGCGGGAAGCCUCAUGAUUUUGCUGCAGUAAAAACUAGAGUUGUGCAAAUGAUGCGGUCGCCCAGUGUUGUACCAUCUAGUGUACCCCCUAAACAAUUGCAAAGUUUCGGCACCUCAUUGUCGGAAAAGUCUAAAAUUAUUGGGGGGCAAUCUCAUGGGGAGUGGAUGGAAAUUGAGAUGAAAAAUUUUAAAGCUCGCCAAGCUGAGAUGUGAGCUAAAAUUAGACAAGAGCGAGAAGCCUUGCAAAUUAAAAAAGAUAAAGUCAUUGAUUCAGGUAACAAAGAAAAUUCAAUUAUUGGAAAACCGAAUCCAUCAAAUCCAAAGAGGCAAGCAUUAUUGAGAAAGAGCAUGGAAAGCAUAGCAAAACAACCAUGCUUGAUUUUUCUAAAAUUAAUGAAACCUACUUCCUGCCCUAUGAGUUUCGUGCCAUAGAAAUUGACGAGCUUCAAGGACAAGAACAAGUAGCCGAACAAAGUUCGGUUGAAAAAGAUCUUCAAAUUUAUGAUGCACGGAAUCAAGAAGAAAAUGGUGACGCGGUGUUGGGAAGCCAUCCAAAAGCAAAGCACGAUAUUAUUCAUGACAUGCAAUCAUCAUGCUCUCCCAACAUAUUUGAAGAGGUAUGUCUAGCAAGUAAUUUACCUAUUUUUAGAUUUGGUCACAACUUUAUUGUUGAUGCAUCUAUAAGAAAUAUUCUCAUAAGUAAUUUUCAAAGACCAAUGAAGAAGGGCAAUUUACUUGUUAGCAAUAAAAUUGUUACUAAGCAUAUCGGUCAAUAUAUUGUACCAUUCAAAGAGACCGAUAGUGACUUAUUACUGCAACCAAAACUUUUCCCAUUGCUUUAUUUAAAGUUCAUAUCUAAUUGGGUAGCUUUGCUUGCUUCAUACUUGGCUUACGCAUGGUCUCAAUUGAGACGUGUAUGUUCUGACUACUUUGAUUUCAGAAAUUUAAAGCCAAGGCUAAAAUCUUUUGGGAAAAUCGAUGCUAGUAUAGUAUAGUUUCUUAUUUAAGGACAUCGGAAAAAGAAUGUGAAAGAGAAUUCAUAGCCAAAUGGGAAGAUGCCAAAUCUGAACCAUUCAUUUUCUUAACUCCAAAGCCGUUCUCACAACAAGAUCGGCUAGAAAACAAAAUGUAUACCUUCAAUUCAAACAUGUGUGAUCAAAUCUUUGCUUUCUUGUUGAAAAAUAAUUACAUUAGAAUUCUUGAUCACCAUGUCAAGCCAUCUAUUCAAGGACGAAUGUAUUGUAAGUUGCAUGAUUCGUCCAAGCAUAAUUUUGAGGACUGCCACAUGUUCCGUCAAAUAGUUAAAUUGACCAUUAAAAAAGGACGUUUGAAAUUUGUUGAAACACCAAAGGAUGACCAGUCUAUUCCGAUUGAUCUUGAUGGCAAAAAGUUUUUGCAUCGGCUACUUUAAGCCGAUCCAUCUAAAGAGAAGGUAAAAACUACAGGUGAUGGGAUCAAGCUUUCAAGUAAAGAAGUAAUUGAAGAUCACAAUGGACAUGAACUUGAGGGUGAGAAUUCCAUCGAAGCUACAAUGAAGAUGCUAAGGACUGGGGGGCAACAAGGAAAUCCAAUGAUCGAUGAAAGCAAACCAAAAGAAAACAAAGGACAAAAUAAGCACAAGUGUAAGAGAUCAAAAAUCACCUUCGCUGAACUAUUGGAUAAAUAUCAAAAGAAGAGUGAAGAGAAGAAUACUUAUCGGCCAAAUCAUGCAAAGAAACCAAGAUCACCCUGUUGGGGAACGUAGCAGAAAUUCAAAAAAUUUCCUACGUAACACCAAGAUCUAUCUAUGGAGAGACCAGCAACGAGUAGAAAGGGGAGAGGAGAGUGCAUCUACAUACCCUUGUAGAUCGCUAAGCGGAAGCGUUCAAGUGAACGGGGUUGAUGGAGUCGUACUCGUCGUGAUUCAAAUCACCGAUGAUCAAGUGCCGAACGGACGGCACCUCCGCGUUCAACACACGUACAGCCCGGUGACGUCUCCCACGCCUUGAUCCAGCAAGGAGAGAGGGAGAGGUUGAGGAAGACUCCAUCCAGCAGCAGCACAACGGCGUGGUGGUGGUGGAGGAGCGUGGCAAUCCCGCAGGGCUUCGCCAAGCACCAUGGGAGAAGAGGAGGAGGGAGAGGGGCAGGGCUGCACCAACGAGAGAUCAAAUCGCGUGUUAUGGGCAGCCCCAUGCCUCAAUAUAUAUAGGGGGAGGGGAGGGCUGCGCCCCCUUUUAGGGUUUCCCACCCCCAAGGGGUGCGGCCAGCCCUAGAUGGGAAAGGGGCGGCGGCCAAGGGAGGAUUCCCUCCCCCCCAAGGCACCUAGGAGGUGCCUUCCCCUCCUAGGACUCUUCCUUAGGGUUCCCCUUUGACCCUAGGCGCAUGGGCCAUGAGGGAAGUGGCGCCCCAGCCCACUUUGGACUGGAUCCCUUCCCACUUCAGCCCAUGUGGCCCCCCGGGGCAGGUGGCCCCACCCGGUGGGCCCCCGGGACCCUUCCGGUGGUCCCGGUACAAUACCGAUGACCCCGAAACUUGUCCCGAUGGCCGAAACAGGACUUCCUAUAUAUAAAUCUUUACCUCCGGACCAUUCCGGAACUCCUCGUGACGUCCGGGAUCUCAUCCGGGACUCCGAACAACAUUCGGUAACCACAUACAAGCUUCCUUUAGAACCCUAGCGUCAUCGAACCUUAAGUGUGUAGACCCUACGGGUUCGGGAGACAUGCAGACAUGACCGAGACGUUCUCCGGUCAAUAACCAACAGCGGGAUCUGGAUACCCAUGUUGGCUCCCACAUGUUCCACGAUGAUCUCAUCGGAUGAACCACGAUGUCAAGGACUUAAUCAAUCCUGUAUUCAAUUCCCUUUGUCUAGCGGUAUUUUACUUGCCCGAGAUUCGAUCGUCGGUAUACCGAUACCUUGUUCAAUCUCGUUACCGGCAAGUCACUUUACUCGUUCCGUAACACAUCAUCCCGUGAUCAACUCCUUGGUCACAUUGCGCAUAUGAUGAUGUCCUACCGAGUGGGCCCAGAGAUACCUCUCCGUUUGCACGGAGUGACAAAUCCCAGUCUCGAUCCGCAUAAAACAAUAGAUACUUUCGGAGAUACCCGUAGUGCACCUUUAUAGUCACCCAGUUACGUUGUGACGUUUGAUACACCCAAAGCACUCCUACGGUAUCCAGGAGUUACACGAUCUCAUGGUCAAAGGAAGAGAUACUUGACAUUGGCAAAGCUCUAGCAAAUGAACUAUACGAUCUUUUGUGCUAGUCUUAGGAUUGGGUCUUGUCCAUCACAUCAUUCUCCUAAUGAUGUGAUCCCGUUAUCAACGACAUCCAAUGUCCAUAGCCAGGAAACCAUGACUAUCUAUUGAUCACAACGAGCAAGUCAACUAGAGGCUCACUAGGGACAUAUUGUGGUCUAUGUAUUCACACGUGUAUUAUGAUUUCCGGAUAAUACAGUUAUAGCAUGAAUAAAAGACAAUUAUCAUGAACAAGGAAAUAUAAUAAUAAUACUUUUAUUAUUGCCUCUAGGGCAUAUUUCCAACAGUCUCCCACUUGCACUAGAGUCAAUAAUCUAGUUCACAUCGCCAUGUGAUUAACACUCACAGGUCACAUCGCCAUGUGACUAAUACCCAAGAGUUUACUAGAAUCAGUAGUCUAGUUCACAUCACUAUGUGAUUAAUACUCAAUGAGUUUUAGGUUUGAUCAUGUUGCUUGUGAGAGAGGUUUUAGUCAACGGGUCUGAACCUUUCAGAUCCGUGUGUGCUUUACAAAACUCUAUGUCAUCUCCUAGAUGCAGCUACCACGCUCUAUUUGGAGCUAUUCCAAACAACUGUUCUACUUGGAGCUAUUCUAAAUUAUUGCUCCAUUAUAUAUGUAUUCGGUCUCUCUACUCAGAGCUAUCCGGAUAGGUGUCAAGCUUGCAUCGUCGUAACCUUUACGACGAACUCUUUUACCACCUCCAUAAUCGAGAAAAUUCCUUAGUCCACUAGUUACUAAGGAUAACUUUGACCGUUGUCCUGUGAUCCAUUCUUGGAUCACUCUUGUACCCCUUGACUGACUCAUGGCAAGGCACACUUCAGGUGCGGUACACAGCAUAGCAUACUGAAGAGCCUACGUCUUAAGCAUAGGGGACGACCUUCGUCCUUUCUCUCUAUUCUGCCGUGGUCGAGCUUUAAGUCUUAACUUCGUACCUUACAAUUCAGGCAAGAACUUCUUCUUUGACUGAUCCAUCUUGAAUACCUUCAAGAUCUUGUCAAGGUAUGUGCUCAUUUGAAAGUAUUAUUAAGCAUUUUGAUCUAUCCUUAUAGAUCUUGAUGCUCAAUGUUCAAGUAGCUUAAUCCAGGUUUUCUAUUGAAAAACACCUUUCAAAUAACCCUAUAUGCUUUCUAGAAAUUCUACAUCAUCUCUGAUCAUCAAUAUGUCAACAAUACAUACUCAUCAGAAAUUCUAUAGUGCUCCCACUCACUUCUUAGGAAAUACAAGUUUUUCAUAAAACUUUGUACAAACCCAAAAUCUUUGAUCAUCAUCAAAGCAUACAUUCCAACUCCGAGAUGCUCACUCCAGUCCUUAGAAGGAUCGCUGGAGCUAGCAUACUUAUUAGCAUCUUUCAGGAUUAACAAAACCUUCCGGUUGUAUCACAUACAACCUUUCCUCAAUAAAAUCGUCGAGGAAACAAUGUUUUGACAUCCUAUCUGCAAGAUUUCAUAAAUAAUGCAGUAAUCGCUAAUAUAAUUCCAACAGACUCUUAGCAUCGCUACGAGUGAGAAAGUCUCACUGUAGUCAACUCCUUGAACUUGUCAGAAAGCAUCUUAACGACAAGUUGAGCUUUCUUAAUGGUGACAUUUACCAUUAUCGUCCGUCUUCCUUUUAAAAUCCAUAUGUACCUAAUGGCCUUACGACCAUCAAGUAUUUCUUCCAAAGUCAUGGAUCCGUUCUCGGAUUUUAUGGCCUCAAGCCAUUUAUCGGAAUCCGGGCCCACCAUCACUUCUCCAUAGCUCGUAGGUUCAUUGUUGUCUAGCAACAUGACUUCCAAGACAGGAUUACUGUACCACUCUGAAGCAGUACGUAUCCUUGUCACCCUACGAGGUACGGCAGUGACUUGAUCCGAAACUUCAUGAUCAUUAUCAUAAGCUUCUUCUUCAAUUGGUGUAGGUGCCACAGGAACAACUUCCUGUGCCCUGCCACACACCAGUUGAAGAGACGGUUCAAUAACCUCAUCAAGUCUCCACCAUCCUCCCACUCAACUCUUUCGAGAGAAACCUUUCCUCGAGAAAGGACCCGAUUCUAGAAACAAUCCAUAUUGCUUUCGGAUCUGAAUUAGGAGGUAUACCCAACUGUUUUGGGUUUCCUAUGAAGAUGCAUUUUAUCCGCUUUGGGUUCGAGCUUAUCAACCUGAAACUUUUUCAUAUAAGCGUCGUAGCCCCAAACUUUUAAGAAACGACAACUUAGGUUUCUCUAAACGGUGUCGUCUCAACGGAAUUACGUGGUGCCCUAUUUAAAGUGAAUGUGGUUGUCUCUAAUGCCUAACCCAUGAACGAUAGUGGUAAUUCGAUAAGAGACAUCAUGGUACGCACCAUAUCCAAUAGGGUGCAACUAUGAUGUUCGGACACACCAUCACAUUAUGGUGUUCCAGGCGGUAUUAAUUGCGAAACAAUUUCCACAAUGUCUUAAUUGUGUGCCAAAACUCGUAACUCAGAUAUUCAUCUCUAUGAUCUUAUCAUAGGCAUUUUAUCCUCUUGUCACGAUGAUCUUCAACUUUACUCUAAAAUUACUUGAACCAUUCAAUAAUUCAGACUUGUGUUUCAUCAAGUAAAUAUAUUCAACAUCUACUCGAAUCAUCUGUGAAGUAAGAACAUAAUGAUAUUCACUGCAUGCCUCAGCACUCAUUGGACUGCACACAUCAACAUGUGUUACUUCCAACAGGUUGCUACCUUGUUCCAUCUUACUGAAACCGAGGCUUUUCAGUCAUCUUGUCCAUGUGGUAUGAUUUGCAUAUCUCAAGUGAUUCAAAAUCAAGUGAGUUCAAACGGUCCAUUUGCAUGGAGUUUCUUCAUGCAUAUAUACCAAUAGACAUGGUUCGCAUGUCUCAAACUUUUCAAAAAAUGAGUGAGUCCAAAGAUCCAUCAACAUGGAGUUUCUUCAUGCAUUUUAUACCGAUAUGACUUACGUGGCAGUGCCACAAGUAGGUGGUACUAUCAUUACUAUCUUUUGGCAUGAACAUGUGUAUCACUACGAUCGAGAUUUCAAUGAACCAUUCAUUUUAGGUGCAAGACCAUUGAAGGUAUUAUUCAAAUAAGUAGAGUAACCAUUAUUCUCUUUAAAUGAAUAACCGUAUUGCGAUAGUCAUAAUCCAAUCAUGUCUAUGCUCAACGCAAACACCAAAUAACAAUUAUUCAGGUUUUAACACCAAUCUCGAUGGUAGAGGGAGCGUGCGAUGCUUGAUCAUAUCAAUAUUGGAAACAUUUCCAACACAUAUCGUCAGCUCACCUUUAGCUAGUCUCCGUUUAUUCCGUAGCUUUUAUUUCGAGUUACCAACACUUAGCAACCGAACUGGUAUCUAAUACCCUGGUGCUACUAGGAGUACUAGUAAAGUACACAUCAACACAAUGUAUAUCCAAUAUACUUCUAUCGACCUUGCCAGCCUUCUUAUCUACCAAGUAUCUAGGGUAAUUCUGCUCCAGUGGUUGUUCCCCUUAUUUACAGAAGCACUUAGUCUCGGGUUUCUUCAUUGGUGCAGCAGCUGAUUUGCCGUUUCAUGAAGUAUCCCUUCUUUCCCUUGCCCUUCUUGAAACUAGUGGUUUCACCAACCAUCAACAAUUGAUGCUCCUUCUUGAUUUCUACUUUCGCUGUGUCAAACAUCGUGAAUACCUCAAGGAUCAUCUUAUUUAUCCCUGAUAUGUUAUAGUUCAUCAGGAAGCUCUAGCAGCUUCGUGGUAAUGACUUCGGAGAAACAUCACUAUCUCAUUUGGAAGAUCAACUCCCACUCAAUUCAAGUGAUUGUUGCACUCAGACAAUCUGAGCACAAGCUCAACGAUUGAGAUUUUCUCCCUUAGUUUGCAGGCUAAGAGAAUCGUCGGAGGUCUUAUACCUCUUGACGUGAGCACGAGCCUGAAAUCCCAAUUUCAGCCUUCGAAACAUCUCAUAUGUUCCGCGACAUUUCGAAAAUGUCUUUGGUGCCUCUACUUAAACCAUUUAACUGAACUAUCACGUAGUUAUCAAAACGUGUAUGUUCGAUGUUCGAAACAUCCACAAACGAUGUUUGGGGCUCAGCACACUGAGCAGUGCAUUAAGGACAUAAGCUUUCUACUGUUCUCAUAAUCGCUACUAUCAACUUUCAACUAUAUUUUCUCUAGGAACAUAUCUAAACAGUAGAACUAUAGCGUGAGCUACGACAUAAUUUGCAAAGGGUCUUUUGACUAUGUUCAGGAUAAUUAAGUUCAUCUUAUGAACUCCCACUCAGAUAGACAUCCCUCUGGUCAUCUAAGUGAUUACAUGAUCCGAGUCAACUAGGCCGUGUCCGAUCAUCACGUGAGACGGACUAGUUAACGUCGGUGAACAUCUUCAUGUUGAUCGUAUCUACUAUACGACUCAUGCUCGACCUUUCGGUCUCCGUGUUCCGAGGCCAUGUCUGCACAUGCUAGGCUCGUCAAGUUAACCCUAAGUGUAUUGCUGUGUAAAUCUGUCUUACACCCGUUGUAUGUGAACGUAAGAAUCCAUCACACCCGAUCAUCACGUGGUGCUUAGAAGCGAUGAACUGUAGCAACGGUGCACAGUUAGGGGAGAACACUUCUUGAAAUUGUUGUAAGGGAUCAUCUUAUUUACUACCGUCGUUCUAAGCAAACAAGAUGCAUAAACAUGAUAAACAUCACAUGCAAUCAAAUAGUGACAUGAUAUGGCCAAUAUCAUUUUGCUCCUUUUGAUCUUCAUCUUCGGGGCUCCAUGAUCAUCAUCGUCACCGGCAUGACACCAUGAUCUCCAUCAUCAUGAUCUCCAUCAUCGUGUCUUCAUGAAGUUGUCACGCCAACGACUACUUCUACUUCUAUGGCUAACCGUUUAGCAAUAAAGUAAAGUAGUUUACAUAGCGUUCUUUAAUGACACGCAGGUCAUACAAAAAAUAAAGACAACUCCUAUGGCUCCUGCCGGUUGUCAUACUCAUCGACAUGCAAGUCGUGAAUCCUAUUACAAGAACAUGAUCAAUCUCAUACAUCACAUAUCAUUCAUCACAUCCUUUUGGCCAUAUCACAUCACAUAGCAUACCCUGCAAAAACAAGUUAGACGUCCUCUAAUUGUUGUUUGCAUGUUUUACGUGGCUGCUAUGGGUUCUAGCAAGAACGUUUCUUACCUACGCAAAACCACAACGUGAUAUGCCAAUUGCUAUUUACCCUUCAUAAGGACCCUUUUCAUCGAAUCCGUUCCGACUAAAGUGGGAGAGACUGGCACCCGCUAGCCACCUUAUGCACCAAGUGCAUGUCAAUCGGUGGAACCUGUCUCACGUAAGAGUACGUGUAAGGUCGGUCCGGGCCGCUUCAUCCCACAAUACCGUCGAAACAAGAUUGGACUAGUAACGGUAAGCAUAUUGAACAACAUCAACGCCCACAACUACUUUGUGUUUUACUCGUGCAAAGAAUCUACGCAAUAGACCUAGCUCAUGAUGCCACUGUUGGGGAACGUAGCAGAAAUUCAAAAAAUUUCCUACGUAACACCAAGAUCUAUCUAUGGAGAGACCAGCAACGAGUAGAAAGGGGAGAGGAGAGUGCAUCUACAUACCCUUGUAGAUCGCUAAGCGGAAGCGUUCAAGUGAACGGGGUUGAUGGAGUCGUACUCGUCGUGAUUCAAAUCACCGAUGAUCAAGUGUCGAACGGACGGCACCUCCGCAUUCAACACACGUACAGCCCGGUGACGUCUCCCACGCCUUGAUCCAGCAAGGAGAGAGGGAGAGGUUGAGGAAGACUCCAUCCAGCAGCAGCACAACGGCGUGGUGGUGGUGGAGGAGCGUGGCAAUCCCGCAGGGCUUCGCCAAGCACCAUGGGAGAAGAGGAGGAGGGAGAGGGGCAGGGCUGCACCAACGAGAGAUCAAAUCGCGUGUUAUGGGCAGCCCCAUGCCUCAAUAUAUAUAGGGGGAGGGGAGGGCUGCGCCCCCUUUUAGGGUUUCCCACCCCCAAGGGGUGCGGCCAGCCCUAGAUGGGAAAGGGGCGGCGGCCAAGGGAGGAUUCCCUCCCCCCCAAGGCACCUAGGAGGUGCCUUCCCCUCCUAGGACUCUUCCUUAGGGUUCCCCUUUGACCCUAGGCGCAUGGGCCAUGAGGGAAGUGGCGCCCCAGCCCACUUUGGACUGGAUCCCUUCCCACUUCAGCCCAUGUGGCCCCCCGGGGCAGGUGGCCCCACCCGGUGGGCCCCCGGGACCCUUCCGGUGGUCCCGGUACAAUACCGAUGACCCCGAAACUUGUCCCGAUGGCCGAAACAGGACUUCCUAUAUAUAAAUCUUUACCUCCGGACCAUUCCGGAACUCCUCGUGACGUCCGGGAUCUCAUCCGGGACUCCGAACAACAUUCGGUAACCACAUACAAGCUUCCUUUAUAACCCUAGCGUCAUCGAACCUUAAGUGUGUAGACCCUACGGGUUCGGGAGACAUGCAGACAUGACCGAGACGUUCUCCGGUCAAUAACCAACAGCGGGAUCUGGAUACCCAUGUUGGUUCCCACAUGUUCCACGAUGAUCUCAUCGGAUGAACCACGAUGUCAAGGACUUAAUCAAUCCCGUAUUCAAUUCCCUUUGUCUAGCGGUAUUUUACUUGCCCGAGAUUCGAUCGUCGGUAUACCGAUACCUUGUUCAAUCUCGUUACCGGCAAGUCACUUUACUCGUUCCGUAACACAUCAUCCCGUGAUCAACUCCUUGGUCACAUUGCGCAUAUGAUGAUGUCCUACCGAGUGGGCCCAGAGAUACCUCUCCGUUUACACGGAGUGACAAAUCCCAGUCUCGAUCCGCAUAAAACAAUAGAUACUUUCGGAGAUACCCGUAGUGCACCUUUAUAGUCACCCAGUUACGUUGUGACGUUUGAUACACCCAAAGCACUCCUACGGUAUCCAGGAGUUACACGAUCUCAUGGUCAAAGGAAGAGAUACUUGACAUUGGCAAAGCUCUAGCAAAUGAACUAUACGAUCUUUUGUGCUAGUCUUAGGAUUGGGUCUUGUCCAUCACAUCAUUCUCCUAAUGAUGUGAUCCCGUUAUCAACGACAUCCAAUGUCCAUAGCCAGGAAACCAUGACUAUCUAUUGAUCACAACGAGCAAGUCAACUAGAGGCUCACUAGGGACAUAUUGUGGUCUAUGUAUUCACACGUGUAUUACGAUUUCCGGAUAAUACAGUUAUAGCAUGAAUAAAAGACAAUUAUCAUGAACAAGGAAAUAUAAUAAUAAUACUUUUAUUAUUGCCUCUAGGGCAUAUUUCCAACACACCCCCAAGGCGCAAAUAUGAGGAUCGGUAUUGGCAAAGUGAGCAUUUUAAUGCAACAUAUUCAUAUCCUUAUUUUGGGCCGCCAGUGCCAAUGCCGUGGAUGCAUACCUAUGCUCAUGUAGAUCCAUAUCCAUCAUGGGACAGGUAUGAUACAAGGGCACACUCUCCAUCUUAUUUUAGACCAUCUAACCAAUAUUAUGCAUCUCCGAGAAGAUCAACAUUUGAACAACCAUAUGUUAAAGACCGUUUCAAUCAUAAGGAGUCCGGAGCUCAAAGAAGAAGAAAGAGGUGGUCAAACAAGUGUACCGUGUUAAAAGAGAUGGUCGUAAGAGUGCAACUUCAGAUUUGGUCUCAAAUGAAAAAGAGCCAAUUAACGUGUUGACAUUGGCUACUAAAGGCAAUGAGACGAAGCAACCAAUUAUCAAGAGUCAAAGUGUCAAAUCUGAAGAAAAGAAGUUGACAGUGCACAAGGUAAAACAAGAAUUUCCAUUGCUUCAAAGAAAAUCACAACUGGGGUGCCCACUCGGCUUAUCGUAUUGGCAAAAGAAGGAAUUACAAAAACUUAGUCCACAAGAGCUGAAAAAGAAGAACAUGGCAUGGGUUCCCAAGAGGAGCAGUCAAAAUAAAAAUGAUGUGCAACCUUCUAUUGCAACAAGUGUUAUAAAAAUGAAGAAAGAGAAGGAUGGAAACCAGAAACAAUUAAGCCGAAGGUUUGCAUCACCCCAUCAAAAUCUUCGGUUAGCACAUCAUCCAUGUUUUUCAACCAUACCAUUGAUGCAUUUGCCAUGGAAUUCAUCAUCAAGUAUGAUAAAUUACCCUCCCUGGAUUUAUUUUGAUCCAUGGAAGCGACAUAAUUUUCUGCAUCAUGAGAGGGUAUUACCAAAUCCCUAUACAAUUUAUUAGCUACAUUUUUUCUUGCUAAUCCAAAGGGCCGAAAUAUUUGAUUGCUAUUUCAUUUGUUUAUUUCGGAUAUACAUGAUUUGGUGAAUGAAUUCUACAUGGACCUCAUGGUAAUGGUCGAUACUUAUCUAUCGCCCUAAGAAUAUAUGUAAGAAUGGCCAGUGUGGUGCUCUAACACUGUCCAAAGUUUGAGUAGAGAUUGAGAUAAGUGCUUGCAAAGGAAUUUGUCAAAUUGAUGCCAUUGAGGAUAUUAUGCAUAGACCAAUUCACCAAAAUUGCAAAGUGAACUUAUGUUUUGAUUGGGUGUGCUUUGGCUUGUUAGUUUUCAGAACUUACGUAAGGCCAAAUCAUGGUUGAUUUUAUUGAGCAUCAUAUUGACAUCAUGCAUAAUAUUGAUUUUAGUUUGAUCUCUCUAGUACCAUGGAGAUUAUAUAUUGAUGGUUAAAUUUGUAGCAAUGGCCAAGGUGUUGGUGUUGUUUAUAUAUCUCCUUAUGAUGCUAUUUUAUGAAGACUCAUGCCACUUAAAAUAUUUUUGCACAAUGAUCAAAGCCGAAUAUGCAUUGUCAUUCGGAUUGGAGUUUUGCCUUGCUAUAGGUGCUAUACAUAUUGAGGCUUCCGAUGAUUCGUUAUUAGUAGUGCAACAAUUAUCCAAGGGUUAUCAAUGUUUUGACGAAUCACUUAUAGUUUAUCUUUUGGUAUGUCUAGAUGCAAGAUUUACCUUGGGUUAAUUCGAAAGAGUUGGCACAAUAAGCAUCCGGCUGCUAUGUUAAUCAUGGUGUAUUGCAUUUCUAUCAAUAGCCGAUGCUAGGUCUUGUCAACAUAGGUAAGGCCGAAUCGAAGCCCAUCGCUUCGGCCACUAAUGAAACUUUUUAUGUAGACGAAGUAAGGAUUGAAGAAAGUUCAUUCUUGAUUAUCUGCAAAAUCCUAGCGAAAGGGAGAACAAUAUGUUUCGGAGGAUGGUUUUGGUCUAUGGAACCUUAUCACCGGAUUGUUAUAGAAGCUGAGAAGUUUUCACCCAAGUUUGCCUCAAGAGGUUCAAACAAGCAAUGUUCGAUAUAUACUUAUCGUCCUAAGAACAUGCAAAAUGGCCGAUGGAGUAUUGACAUCGUCCUUAGAAAAACCAUCGUGCAAGUUAUUUUUCGGCACACAAGUUUGCCGAAAAACAGGGGGGCAUGUGUUGACACCAAAUUUUGACACGGCCAAGAACAUAAUUGAGAUGGACUCAAAUGGAGAAGUGCUCAAAGUGAGAAAGUUCUGUAUCGUCAAAAGGAGAAACUUUCAUAUUUGGGCCAUAGCCAUCCGGUCUCAUCUCUAAGGCUGAAAUUGUGUUUGAAGUACUUAGAUUUUAUAUUCAGAACACUAUUCAGCUGAUUACGCCCCCAAGAUGGCCUCAUAUGAAAAAUGUUUCUACACGGAUUGUCUUCGUCUCGUCAAGGUGAUCGAUUCCGAUAUAAACAACGUCUAAAUCGGAGUUCGUAUGCAAAAGUUAGAGCCAAAACAGUGUGCUGCAUAAGUUUACCCCGGAAGUUCCGAGCAAAACUUCCGGGGAGGUUCCGGGCUAAAUCGAAAGUUUGCACGUGGUGCGCCCCGAAAACUGAAAUUUUAACAUUGUUUGCAGAAUUGCGGGGCCGAUUUCGACAUCAAGAUGACCUCGAAUGAAAAAGGGAUCAACUGAAGAGUUUUUCUUCAUUGCAAGAUCUACAACUUUGCUUUUGGGACCAUCGUCAUCCGAAGUAGUAUGCGACCUGCAGAUUCAGUGCAAGAGGGCUACUUGAUAUAAUUUCAGCCCGGAAGUUCCGGGGCAGACCAGAAGUUCCGGCCCUCGUAGUCCGAGUUAGGGUAAAUUUUGAUGAUUUGGACGUGAUUUGAGUCCUUUUCUUGUACGGAAAGUCCAGCCGCCUCAUAUAUAUGUAAGGGGAGACGGCCGAUUGAACAAUACACAAUCGAUCUAUCAAUAUAUCAUCUUUUUACCUUUACCUUUAUCUCUCUCGCUUGUUCUUUUUCUUCCUCGUUCUUCGUUCGUUCUUCGUUUGCAGGGCGGCGAACCUCGAGGCCCUAGGGGCGAUCAGGUCGACCUAGGGCAGCCCAUAGCCGCCGCAAGCCCUUACGGGGUCCCUCCCGGGCGUGUGGGGUUUCGGGUCCUCAAAAGCACCCGCCGGAUUGUUUGCGUACCGCGCUUCCGGACAGGUCUCCGUCGACGUGAGCUGCGGUGCAUCACCCUCGGCGUUGGAGGUACACGGUGACGUGUUAGUGUGUGAACAACGCUCCGAUUCUGAGAAGAGUUCUAAACCUGUGAUCAAUCCCAUGUAACCAGUUGCAAAUAUAUUAGCAACACUACAAAGAGGAUACAAGCUAUAAGCUAUUUGGAUGACUGACCAUAUAGAACGAGCCAAUUUACAUUGAAAGAACAAAUAUUUUAUUGUCUCAUCAUGAUGACAAAAUACACAUUGCGUACUUUCAUGCUAAUUCCUCUGAAUAAAAUUAUCUUUAGUAAGAAUGAUCUUUAGUUAAUUAAUUAAGUUCCAUGCUUCAUCCGCAAAAAGAAAAGAAAAAGUUGCAUGCUUGCGUACAAAAAUCAGUCUCCUGUGAGCAAAUGUACUAAGUGAUUAGAUGCUAUACCAAUCAAGCUUCUACGAAACCUCUGGCCUACUUGGCACGUCCAGAGUUAUCAGGAGACGUAUGCCCAGUGCACUGUCACAGUCAUCGUUAUAUUUCUGGUGACGUUUCUCCCGUUUGUUCUGGGACAUAGACACGAACUAACGCUAUGUAUUUCACACCGGCAUGGUAGCUAGCCAGCCAGGCCUUUAUGAAGUUGGUCAAAUAGUACGUGUGCGUACGGGCACGCUAGUGUUGUCUUCCGUCUUCCACUGAUCCACCUUCAAACCGGCUGCUUACAUGACCAAUCAAAGCCCUCUCUUUGCUUAACAAAAAACCUCAAAGCCCGGUCCUUUCCCCGUCCUACGCACACCAAGAUGCCAGACUAAUUUGUUGGACUGGGUCCCUAACUAAUGAUUACCCCAUUAACAUGCCUAAAUCUCAUCAUCAGCCAGCAAUAUUUAGACCACACACCACUAGCAAUUUUAUAAUUAUAAGCUUACUAGUAUACCACUGAUACUACCCCUCCAUUCCAAAAUAUAGUCAUUCCGAGAUUUAACUUUAAUCAUAAAUUUAACCAACGAGACCGACUGCGACGAAAAAUAAAUAUAUAAUAAAAACUUAUUUUGAAUAUGAAUUCACUGAUAUAGCUUUUGUUCCCGCCGCAGUCGGUCUUGUUGGUAAAAUUUAUGUUUAAAAUUAAUGCAAUACUUAUGGCACAUCUAGAUGUGUUUUAGCAAAACUGUUAAAAUUAAAGUAUGAAAAUAGAAGAAGCACUGUAUUUUGAACCGAAUGGAGUAGUAGAUAAUCUUCGGCGGUAAGGGAUUCCAGUCCGUGCAAGCGACAAGGCACGGCAGGAAGGACUUCGCUCUCCGAUUCGCUUCACUAGAUACAAGAUGCAAGGUAGGUUGCUAAAAAAAGAUGCAAGGUAGUACGACACUCGAAUCUCAUGAUCAGCUCACGACUUGAGUUAAGUUUUCGAGGACUUGACUCGAUCCAGCCGAGGUACUCUCUCCGGUCCUUUUUAUUCUGUACAUUGGAUUUGUCGAAAGUCAAAUUUUACUAAGUUUGAUCAAAUUUAUAUUAGAAAUUAUUAGCAUCUAUAAUAUCUAAUAAAUAUAAUAUGAAAAUAUAUUUCAAGAUAAAUCUAAUGAUAUUGGUGUUGUUAUGUGAAUGUCUAUAAUUUUUCAUAUAAACUUGGUUAAAGUUGAAUGAGAUUGACUUCGGACAAACCUAAUAUGCAGAGUAAAAAUGACAGAAGGGAGUACUAGUAGUACUGACUGCUAGCUACUCCACCAGCAGCUAGCACAACGAGGGUAGGCGCGACGCCACCACCAGCACGCAUCCCGUCACACGUCGCGCGUCAGAUACGGCGUUGACCGCUGCGCGCGACAUGUCUCACUCUGUACGCAUAUGUGGCCGCGAAUCCGACUCUUGAUGAAACCAUGGACGGGAGGAAGAAAUGCCGAUCGAUCGGGUCGGGUGAGAUUUAGGCCAACUUCAUCACGCCAUUCUAUCUUGUUCGGGUGCAUUUGUUUGGAAUAGAACGGACGAAUAGCGCGGUUCAGUACGUGGCCUCAAACGAACAAAUGUUUGAAUUUCGUCCGUUUUUGACCCAUCUUCGGCCUAACUUGCGUCGAGUUUAGGAUGAAAUGGACAUCGCGCGGAUGGGCUCGCCGCACGUUUUUGUCCCCACGUGGCCCGUCUGUCGGGGACACUAGCAAUCCCUUCGCUUCCAACGUCUCCACCCCCUCUUCCCGUCCCGCCCCGCCGCCGGCGCCGCCGCUAUUCUCCGGCCGCAUCCUCACUGCGCAGCCCCCGGCCGUCCAUACCAAACCACGUCUCGACAUGGCCACCACAUCGCCCGCGCUUUCGCCGUAGUUUUGGCCGUCGAUCGGAGAAGGUUUGGCCGGCGUCGUCGUAGCCGGUGGCAGAGGGGAUACGACCGCCGGCGACGUACCACGGCAGUCACGACAGCUUCCGACGAGUGCUCCAGAGCGACCAGUAGCCGGCCGCCAACCACCCGUGCUGCAUCGAGGUGAUCAUCGCGGCCUCUUUGCCACCACGACCGCAAGAUGUUCGACACUUUGCCCACAAAGAUAUGGACAGUGGAGAUGAUUUUUUCUUCCAUCACUUCAUUUUUUCAUCGGAUCAUUCGUCGUUGGAUGAUGAAGAUCUUGUGGUGGCUGCACUGGUCGUUCACGACCACAUUCAAUGGCAGCUUCUUUGGUACAGGGGGUCAGUCCCUGGCCGUGCUCCCAACCUGAACCACAACAUGGAGAGAGGCCACACCCUGCUCUAUGCCGAUUACUUUACGAACACCCCGCUCUUUAAGCCGGAUAAAUUUCGUUGCCGUUUUCGUAUGGCAAGGCAUGUGUUCAAUCGUAUCCGAGAGGGAGUGGUUGCUCCUGACCCAUACUUCGAGUGCAAGACGGAUGCCCUUGGCAAGCUUGGAUUCUCCUCUUACCAGAAAUGCACCGCGGCCAUCCACAUGCUUGCAUAUGGAAUUCCAGGCGAUCUAGUGAAUGAGUAUGUAUGUAUGAGUGAGACAACAUGUCUAAUGCCAAUGUACAAGUUCUGCCAGGCUGUGAUCGAGGUGUUUGGCCAUGAGUACUUGAGGCAGCCAACCGCCGCUGAUACAGAGAGAUUGUUGGCGACCAACGCAGCUAGAGACUUUCCAGGCAUGCCUGGCAGCAUAGAUUGUAUGCACUGGGAGUGGAAGAACUGUCCAUUUGCUUGGCAGGGCCAAUACAAGGGGCAUGUCAAAGCGUGCACUGUCAUAUUAGAAGCGGUGGCUUCGCAGGAUCUUUGGAUAUGGCAUUCUUUCUUCGGCAUGGCAGGUUCUCACAAUGAUAUCAACGCGCUGCAGCGCUCUCCAGUCUUCGCAAGGCCUGCAGAAGGCCACUGCCCAUCUGUCAACUUUGAGAUCAACGACCAUCAAUACAACAAGAGAUACUAUCUAGCUGAUGGUAUAUAUCCUCAAUUGUCAACUUUUGUGAAGACAACCUCGAACCCCCAAGGUGAGAAGAGAAAGAGAUUUCUCCAAAUACAAGAGAGUGCUAGAAAGGAUGUGGAACGUGCUUUUGGUGUGCUUCAAUACCAAUAGGGUAUCGUUCGAAACCUUUGUACUGUCAUGGGAUGAAGGAAAGUUUUGGAAGGUGAUGACUGCUUGUGUGAUCAUGCACAACAUGAUCGUCAAGGACGAGCGUGAUGACAUGAUCUUCGACCAAGGAUUUGAUUAUUAAGGUGAAAAUGUUGAACCCUGCACCAAGAAUCGGCCAUGUUUGAACAGUUUGUCUAAUUCCAUCGUUAGCUGCGUGAUUGACACACUUAUUUGGAUCUUCAAAUGACUUGAUUGAACACGUGUGGGAUCACAUUGACAACCAAUAAAUGUAUUGGUUCAUUAUGUUUAUUCAAGACAAUUUUGAUUUGGUUGUAAAACUAUUUUAUUAGAGACAAUUUUGAUUGGUUGUAAAAUUAUUUUUAUUUUCAAAUAAUUAAUAUUAGCAAACUUAUUUUGAUAUGAAAAAUAUGGGCAUUUUUGGCCCUGGCGGACAGGAUGGAGCCAAUGGAUGCGGCCGCGCGCUGGCCGUACGUCUACCGCAUUCUAGGACAGGUCCGGACACGACCUUAUUAUUUUAACCAAAUGAACCGAAUCUGGGUAAGACGGACGUCCGUUCGGGGUCACGUGGUGAAUAACAUUCAGGCAGGUAAAAUGGGCAGGAAAAGAAGCCGAUUGCGAAUCGCGCUAGGCUCCAGAAGCGGGGAGGAGACACACAAGUCGCAGGCAGAGCGAGGCCAGCACGAGAAGCGACGGCGGCGAGCAAUUUAGCGCCGUCCGUCCGUACCUGCCGAGCGGCGAGCACCAGCUACACUGCCGCUGGCCCCGGCUUCCACGGUCCCACCUGCAGCCUCACGCCAACCGCCGAGACUGCCCGUGCCGUGUGGUGGCAGAUACAGGAGUAGGCGAAUAAAUGCUCGUACUCGUACUAGAAGACACGGACAAGUACUAGCGAGAGCAGCGCAAGGGCCUUUCCACGGGGAAGCAAACAGAAGCAGCAGCAGCAGCAGCUGUUGCGUCCAAGAAGCGUAGCUCGGCACACCUAAAACUGACACACACACUCUGUCGCGGCGGGACCCUACUACUGUACGACCGAAAAAGAAAUCGAGAGAGAUGCUGACUGUAUACUGCACUGCACACAACCGACGGCCGCUGAGCUGAACCGUUGGUCCAGUGCCAAUAGGCAAAUGACACCGUGGCCAACAACAGUUUAGGUUUUGCAACUAUUCGACUAUUCAACUGUUCAGCAUUAUAGGAGCUAGAGCAUUGGCAGUUUCGCGAGCUUAAGUGGUGAGCUGUUUCUACUACUGUAAAGUUCAGCAAAGCGUAGCUUAAUGGCACGGGUCAAAUCCCAGUGAGAGAUAUGGCGCGCACACANNNNNNNNNNNNNNNNNNNNNNNNNNNNNNNNNNNNNNNNNNNNNNNNNNNNNNNNNNNNNNNNNNNNNNNNNNNNNNNNNNNNNNNNNNNNNNNNNNNNNNNNNNNNNNNNNNNNNNNNNNNNNNNNNNNNNNNNNNNNNNNNNNNNNNNNNNNNNNNNNNNNNNNNNNNNNNNNNNNNNNNNNNNNNNNNNNNNNNNNNNNNNNNNNNNNNNNNNNNNNNNNNNNNNNNNNNNNNNNNNNNNNNNNNNNNNNNNNNNNNNNNNNNNNNNNNNNNNNNNNNNNNNNNNNNNNNNNNNNNNNNNNNNNNNNNNNNNNNNNNNNNNNNNNNNNNNNNNNNNNNNNNNNNNNNNNNNNNNNNNNNNNNNNNNNNNNNNNNNNNNNNNNNNNNNNNNNNNNNNNNNNNNNNNNNNNNNNNNNNNNNNNNNNNNNNNNNNNNNNNNNNNNNNNNNNNAAAAAACAGAGUAACAUGUAAGUGUACAGUGGACAAAAAUGAUUCGGGCUGUUCAGCUAAUUCAGGCCUACCAAUCACAAUAAUGUAUUGUAAUUGUAACUGAAAAGAAAAGGCAAAAAAACGAUAUGUUUUUUUAUUGCUCAACUGUUCUCCACCUGGAUCUUGCAUGGAUGAAGAGCCCUUGCCUACAAUCCAUCCAUGCAUGCCGAUUGCCGAAGCUGGGCUUCCAAUCCCUGAGCUCAUCUGAGCACAUCUGGCGACCGAUCUGGACGACGGCUGGUCACAUGUCACAACAGCUGACCUCACUGUCUGACGCUGCCGAACUCGGCGUCGUACACGGCGGAGAGCUCGAAGUCGUCGUCGAACGCGGCCGGCACGUUGAGAUCGAAGGACCCGAAGCUGUCCCCGCAUUUCGCCGGAGACGGCGACGGCAUGUGCGCGCGCUUGUGGCCGCCCAGGGCCUGCCCGGAGCCGAACACGCGGAAGCAGAACGGGCACUCGUGGACGAUCGGGGCGUCGGCGCGGCAGGCCUUGCCAGCCGGCGGUGGCACGCAGCCGCCCUUGCCUUUCUUGACGCUGGCGCGGUGGCCGCCGAGGGCCUGGUACGACCGGAACACCUUCUUGCAUGCGCCGCACUGGUGCCUGGCGCGCGGGUGCACGUGCACCGGCGUCGCCUCGGCGUAGUAAGCCUCGCCGGCCACGUCGGGGCCGUCCUCGUCCUCGUCGAACACCUUGGUGCCGUCGUUGUUUUGCUCGGCCUCCGAGGCCCAGCGGGGCUCCGGCUCGGAUCUGGACCGCGUCCACGAGUCCCGAGACAGCAUCACGAGCGACAUGGCCACGUCCUCCUCCUGCGUCGAAUCGGAGACGGUGCUCGCCGGCUCGGGAUCCGGCACAGGCGGCGGCGCACGCCGCCGUGCCCGCUUGGAGCGCCGUCGGCUCACGGCGAACCCCGCGCCACCGCGCGGGGACUCCGUGUCGCUCUCGCCGUCCUGCACGACCGACGACUCGCCGGCCGCCGCGGUGACCCCGCCGAAGCAUCCGCCUGAGAAUUCAGGCGCGCCUACCUUACAGCUUCUCGCGGGAUCCUCACGCAGGACCCAGGACAGCCGUUUCGGCUGAGCCGGCUUACCAUCCGUGUCCGUCGACGAGGUGGACGCCAAGGACAGUGGCGGCGACUGCUGCUGCGUCGGCGGCGUCGAGUACGCAGCAGCUGCGGCGGCCGCCAUGACAUGGGAUCGCAUGUGGCCGCCCAGCGCACGGCCAUUCUGGAACCGCCGGAAGCAGAGCUUGCAGGUGUGCCUGUCCAUCGCCGAACGAGCAAGACAAACUCCCACACACAAGGCAAUGGAGCAGCAGAGAUCAGAUACCGUAAUGCUUGAAAUCACGAGCAGCUUGCGGGCUUUGCUUGCUUGCUCAGCCGUGGGACAGCUGAUAGUCCAACGGGGAAGAUCCAAGCAGAAGAAGCGUGAGAGGUGGAAGAGGAGGAGAGAGUGGGGAGCUUAAAAGGCAGAGUAGUAGGUGACAAGCAAGCAUCCCUCCACCUCCGCCAAGGAGGAGGAAGAAACAAGUGGGGAGGCGGUGAGAAAGUUGCUUCGGCACACCCCACACUUAAAUACGCAGCAACGCAAAUGGCCGGGCAAUCGAAAACAAGGCAGAAUUUUAUGGCAUUUCAUUUCACGUCGCAAAACCGAAGGAUCGGGGAAUUAACUGCUCGAGCAAAACGGCCCACCUGGAAGCGCCACGAAACCGAAGCGAAAAUUUGGGCUGUAAAACUGGCAAGAUCGAGAAGAUCGUCGGCUUUUUGGAAGAUCUUCAAUUCAAUUUGGUCAUGCGCCAUACGAGCAUGUGUAUUGCUGGCGGGAGUUACGGCCGUCACGAUCCCGUACGUUUGGCCUCGCUUUUAGCAGAGAAUUAAGGAGCGGAGGAUCGGCUGUCGAACGCAUCUUGAGGACGGAGGGGAAAACUCGGGGGAAAUUGUUUAUUUAUUUAUUGGCUGUGCGUGUGGGAUACUCCACUUUGCUGUUUUAUAAAGAUUUGACCAUCAAGAGGUUUAUGUUAUGUGGUCUCAUCAAGGCCAGAAACAGACCGGAUUAAUCCUGGAGAUACUGACAUACUGCUGCCGAAACAAAUCAAAUCCCGAAUUCAAUUCCUUCUCCUAUCGCUCUGAAUGUGUGUCUAUCUUGGUGCCACGAUUUGGCUACAUGUAUGUAUUGGAUUCCUUGAGGCGUAUCCUCGUGUCUCCGUCGUCGGGUUACAAAUUUGCUUUUGUUUUUGGAAAGAAGACAUGCUUGCACAAUGGGCAAAGGUCACUGCGGCAUGUGGCUGCACACAGCUGCACAUCAAAUGCUAGAUCGAUCCAUUGUUGCUGGUGCUGGUACAGGCAGGGCAUACGGUCUAGUCUCACAUGGACGUCGGCGGAUCCGAACUGCCAGGAUCCAGAUUAGACAUGUAGACUCAGUAUGCUGUAAAAAUUCCGGGUUACAGAUGGCCUGCAGUACAAUCUUCGAAUAGAAGCAAUGAGAAAACGGUAAAUUAUUGAAGAAAAAAAAAC